UUUUUUUUUUUGGUAGAACCAAUGAAAUAUUACACUACUAUACAAUAGCUUAAAUAUGUAUGCUACUUUUCCUACAGGAGACAAAGUAGAGUAAAUAGUUAGGACCAUUAAAUUAAAAAAUAUGUUAUUAUUUUUAAAUUAUUAUUAUUAUUUUUGUAAUCUUAAAACCACGUUCCUAAUUAAUUUCCCAGAAAGCCACGGAAACAACACAUUUACUUUUUAGUUACUAAUUUUUUUAGAUACAAGUCCUAUAAUAAAGGAGAAUCACAUUCACUAUUUUAAAGGUAGUUUAACUUUUUACCUUUUAAUAUUUAUAUUUCUUUUAUUUUUUUAAUUAUUUAAAACAAACAUAUCUCUGCAAAAUCUUAUUACUAAAUUUCAUUUUUCAAUUAUUGUUAAAGUCUUUAUUAAGUAAUUACAAAUUUAUUUAUGUAAAUAAAUAAUUAAUAAAUCAUAACUGUUAUUGAAAAGUCAAAUUAUAUUCAUGUUUCAUAUUCACAUUCCUAAUAAUCAUCUCACAAGCAUGAUUUUUUUAAAAAAAGAAAUUCAUACAAGUGCGUAAAUACAUCCAUUAGAGGAGUUAAUUGUGGAAAUAAAAAAACUACUAUUUAAUAUUUAAAAUAAUUUAUUUUUAAAAAAUUAAAUUAAUAAAUUAAGACAAUAAUGUGUUUUAAACAUCACAUGUAUGGCACACGUAUACCCACCCACGUUUUCUACUAAGCCCACACUACUUCCAAAACAAAUAUAUCCACGUUUCCUAUUACUCUCCCCCCACAAUCACAAAAACCAACACACUUCUCCCCUACAAUCAGAAAAAUCACACACUUCUCCCCCACAAUCACCUAUUUAUUAUUUAUAAUAGUAAUUUUUAAAAACACAUUAAAAAAUUAAAAAUAUUACAGGACUUUUACAGUAACUAUGACAUUCAUACCGACAUACCCAACCUACAUUGUUUUAACAGUUUGUCAACUUCUUUUUAUACAAUUUUAACUUUUAAUAAACCACACCCCAUUUUCAAGUAAACUGUAAGAUUUCACAGAGCAUUCUUUUUCAAUGUUUAAAACUUUCUUCUAUUAAAACACCUAUUUAUUAUUUAUAAUAGUAAUUUUAAAAAAUACAUUAAAAAAUUAAAAAGAUUACAGAUUUUUUACAAAAAACGUGACAUUCAUACCCAUAUACUCACGUUUUCCACACUGUUUUAACAAUUUGUAACUUCUUUUUAUACAAUUUUAAUUUUUAAUAAAUCACAUUCCCUCUUUUCUUGCAAACUGCAAAAUAAGUUUUUAUGCAGAAUGUUUAAAACUUCUCCUAUAAGUACAAUCCAAUACAUAUAAAUUUUUCUAAACUAAAAACACAGCUUCUAAAACAUGACAAGAGUUGAUUAUAUUAGUGAAAUUUUAAAUUACAAAAUGGAUUGGAACUUCAAAGUAAGGGUUGUACGUAUGUGGCAUGCUAUACCAAGAGACAAACCAAAUUUUCUUCUAUCAAUUGAGUUAGUGCUUCAAGAUGAAAAGGUAUUUCAAAUUAUUCAAUAAUUUUCUAUUUACUACACCAAUACUGAAUUAUUAAUCCUGAUUUUAAUUUCUCACUUAUUUAUUUGUAGGGAGAAAAAAAUCCAUGUAACAAUUUCACGAUCUGUUGUCCAUCGUUUCAGAGGAGAAAAAAAUGCAAUAAUUGAUUUUUUUUUGUAUAAAUAUGUCUAUCCUGCAGAUGUUAUCGGACAAGUUGUUUGUCAUGCUGAAAAACAAACUCAUCAGCACCGAAAUGGUACAACAAGUCAAUUUUUGAAUGUUGUUAUCGAAGAUGAUGAGUAAGAUUGUGAUUCAAUUACUAAUUUUUAAUAUUUUUCUACAAUCUUAAUUUCUAAUAUAUGGUUAUUAAUGCAGAAGGAAGACAAUUACAACAACAUUUUGGGGAGAGUUUGUUGAUAAAAUCAUGCCCCACUUGCACAAUUUAAUCGAUUAACCUGUCAUCGUAGUUAUACAGCUUGUAAGAGCGCAUAAAUUUCAAGCUAUAUCAACAAUCUAACUUACAUUUCAAAUAUCAUAUUCAGUUUUAAAAAAAUUACUGAUCUAACACUAUGUUUAAGUUCACGGGAGUAUAUUCUGUACAGAAUACAUGAAAUUCCUCCAAUCUUUGGAUUAAUCGUGACCUUCCCCAAGUUAAUGAUUUCAAAUCAAGGUUUUUGUUUUACACUAUAUUACUUUUAUGUCCAUACUAAAAUAAAAAUUACAUGUAUCAUUAAUAUAAAAAGUGUAGAUUAGGAACUGUGUCCGAAGCUACCCCUGAAAUGCUAAGUCAAGCAAUAUCUCAACGUAGUCUUUCUAUUUCUGAAGAAUUGACUGCUGAAACUAUACAACUUAAAACUGUUAAAGAAUUGCUUGAUUUUGUGCAGGUAAAAGUCUUUAUAUUAAUUUCACACUAUAUUUCAACAGGCUUACUUAUAUGCAACAUAUGACAAACUGUUUUAUCACAAUUUUUUUCAUUUUUACAGAUUGGACAUUUGUGGAUUCUUGGAAAAAUAGUGAAUUUGAAACUUAAAAACAAUUGGUCAUACCUAGUUUGCAUCAAAUGCCAUAAAAGUGUCGAAGAAAUUGCCAAAAAUACAUUUCACUGCAAGAAAUGUGGUCGUGAUUAUCAAAUAGCUACUCACAGGUUUGAGCUUAAUAUUAUUUGCUUAGCACUAAAAAUUUUAGGUAGAUUUUAUAUUUAAAUCGAAAAUGCUAUCAGGUAUAGGGUUCAGACUAAGGUGAUGGAUGAUACGGGGAUCGUCUCUUUAUUCCUUUGGGACAACGAAGCAAUCACACUCAUUGAAAAAUUUGCUUCUGAAUUAAAAGAUUGUCCAUUAGAGGUAUAUUAUUUUUUAACAUUAUUUUAUGAAUUCUAAUACUAAUAAAAUUAAUAUCAUAUUAGAUUUUUGAUUCUCCGUACGAGUGUUCCUAUCCGAUCGAAUUGGAUGUUCUUCUUGAUAGAAUCAUCAUGUUUAGAGUGAAUGUUAAACAAGAAAAUAUUGAAUCACGUGAUCGAGUCUAUGAAGUUGCGAAGAUCAGUGAUGACGAAGAACUGAUAAAUCAAUACAAGAAGUCAACGAAAGAAGAUGUUUUCACUGUAUGUAUGAUUUACUAGCAAAAAGAGUCAUUUAUAGUAGCAUGUUAAUUUUAUCACUAAAAGAGGUGUUUAAUCCUUUUUAUUUAUAAAAAUAGGAAGUUUAUUUCAAUGUUGAAGAAGGCUCAGAUGCUAAGAAGGUAUUCAACUUUCAAUGAUUUAAAAAUAAAAAUUGAUAAUGGAUAUUGCUAUAUUUAUGUAUUUUUUAAAUAAACCUUUACUAUUCUCUUUUUUGUCUUAGAAUUCCGUGUAUGAUAACGAGAAGAUCUCUCCUAAAAAAAUGUAUAUUUCAAAAAGAGGCAGACCAAAAAGUGAAGGACCUAUAUCAGAAGUUACUGAUGAUGUUGACCAACUAUCCAGUAACAAGGCCAAGAAGGUUAUUAAGAAGGAGAAGAAUCCCUAAAAAAGUGAACGUGAUGAUUUUCCUUUAAAAGCUUAGCUACAUUUUUAAAAUUUUUAGCAAUCUAGACUUAAGCAUGAUGCUGAAUUAGUUUUAGUUUUGUGUUUUGUUUUAUUUCUUUUAAAAAUCAUGACUCUAUUAUAUCAAAGUUUUUCAUUUCAUAUGUUAAAACUGUGUUUUAAUAUUAGUUAAUUUACUGUAUGAAUCAAAUUUUUAUAUUUUUCAUGUAUUUGUAAAGUUUAUACAUCCGCAUCAGUUUUUCUUUUAAGACUGCAACUAAAUGAGGUCCAACAUUUAUGUGUGUAGAAAUUUAGCAUAAUAACAUCAGUAAGAUCAGACAAAACAGGCUGAUCAUAAAGCAUGAAACAAGAGUCGAGUGAAAUAGAGAGAAAUAAAAUACCAAGUUGUAGAAUCGUUGUUUUGAGAACCCACUAUCAACAACAUAGACAAUACCCUGAAGAAAAAGAAAAUUUUCAACCCAGGAACAUGAUAAAGCCAAACUAAUAACAUGUAUGUCAUAGUAUUUAAUUCAUAUGACAAUUACAAUUUAUAGCAGUAUAAGUUAUUUUUUUUGUUCCCUUCCUUUUUUUAAUGGGAAAAUCUGUCAUUUCAAAUUCCAAAGCUCAAAUAAUAACGGAUUUGUCCUUUACCUUUCUCCACUUAAAUGAUGGAUACAACUUUUUGAUUAUCUUACCAGAAAAAAAGAAUACUUAAUUUUUACAAUGUAAAAAUGAUACUUAUCACUUCUCCCACAAGUUUCUAUCAAUAUAUACUCUUCUCCACUUGAAUUAUGAUUACCACUUUUUUGCUCCUUUUAUCAACAAAAAAAUAAUUAUUUUUCAAGGCAAAAAUGAUACUUAUCACUGUCCCCGCCUCACUUCAUCAAAAAAUUUGUCCAAAAUUGUAAUGUCCAUAUAACUAAACAUGCUUCUAAAGGUAGCAUCCUGCUAGGGGGAAGGAACUGAUGCCAUAGGUCUCUAACUUCAUUAUCAGCUAGAAGGUCAGAUUUUUCAUUACUUUUCAUUACUGUCAAAAUAAGUUGCGUAAAUUCUUUCACUUGGCAGUCUGUAUACCUGGACAAAAAUCAUCAAACAAUGAGAAACAAUUUAUACAAGUCAGAAUCUGUCAUUUCUUGAUCGUACAACAUAUAUGCUAGGAGCACAACUAAAAAUGUACAAGAAUAUUAAUAUUAAUCGUAAUAGUAAUAUUACUGUCAUUUACUAUAUGAGAUAAAUGAUAGAUGGAAUGAUUCUGAGGCGCAUUAGGAAUUGGAAUCAAUAGACCAAAUAAAAAAAUGACUAUAGACUAGGAGGAGGAAGUGACAGAAUCCAAAAAUCGCUUACACACUAUUCAAGUAUUACUAACCGUAGAACUAAUCCUCUAGGUGGAAUUGUGUGGACUAUGCAAGCAAUCAAUGCCUUUCCAUCAAUGAGAUAACCUCUACUGAUUUACUAACUGCAUAUGUAUUAUGUCCUUCAGCAACACAACUUUCUAUCAAAAUAGUGUCUGACAAAGUACCUCUCAUUGACUCAGUUGAAUUAUGCACAUUAUUUAAAACUUCGACUGAUGAUUUAUCAGCAUUCGAACUAAAUUCUUCCAUAUGCAGCUCUUGAGACUCUAACAUGUUAUUAGCUGAAGAGUUGACAUUGUUCACCUACAGUACUGUCAAUUUGUUCAACAUAAGUCUACUUAUUCACAUCGUUUAUCGACCCACUCCCUAAAAAAAUACAAAUACAAGUAGCAACCAAAAAAAGAAACAACUUCCCUUUUAGAGGAGUACCUCUGUCUCAUUAUUAUGUCCAGGAGAAUUCAAUCUUAAAGCACCAUUGACUUGCGAAGAAAUCUGAUGCAAAGACUGUUGUGUCUGCACACUCGAGAGGUAAUUCUUAUCCAUAAAUUGAAGUUCCUACAAAAGUAUGGUGGAUCAAAAAUCUAGGCAUACAAAAUAGGAGAAGAAUUGCAGGUAACUGUAAGCAAUAAAUUCGGUUGCUUAACCUGUUCCUCUUUACUUGAAGCUGGAACCCUGUAUCCUGCAUUUCAAUUCCUUGGUUUACAUUUACAUCACUGUAAUCUGAAUGAAGAGUUUGUCCAUUGAUAGUUGUUUUAUGAUUAUACUGAAAAUUCGAUCUUUGUAAGGUUGACUGAGGUUGUAUGGAGUACUGAUUGUGACUAGAGAUCUGGGAACCCUCUGGUGCAGCCUAGAAAAUCACAAGAUUAGCAAUUAACCUUUAUUAAGCAAAAGUAACGAGGAGAACUAGACCAAAAUUCUUUACUUUACCUGUUGAUUUGACAAAAAUAUAUAUUGAGUGAAAAUGUCCAACAUGAGACUAAGGAGCAUGGGAUGGUAAAGGAGGAAUUCCCUAUUGAUGCAUUACAUAUGGAUGCAGAGCCACAAUUUAUCCGGGUGGAAGGUAGGUUGUCAUCCCAAGCAAGGAUGAAGGAGCAAUAGGCAUACCAUGUACAUGAUCCAACUGGUGGAAUCCUAGAAAAGAGAAUGUUGUGAGCACAGAAACAAGGACAAUCAAAGGAGAAUUAGAACAAUGCAUUUUCCUUCUCUUUUUUAUUUUCUAUAUGAGGAUUUGGAGGGGGUGUGCGCGUGUGUGUGGGGGAGAGGGAAGUCAUUCCUAAUCAUUUAGUGUCAUUACAUCCAUAGUUAGCCACAGCUCUAGAAUUGUCUAAAAGGUACAUAAUUGACGAUAACCAUCCAUAAUAAGAGCCAGUCGGCUGAAUUUUACUGAUCAUAUAAAAGUUAUUUAUCUAUAGAUAAAGGUUCAAUUUUGAAGCUCAAAUUAUCAUCUCUAUUCUUACUUGGAAGUUGAAAAUAUCUCAAAUUAUCCUAUUGUCAUUUUUCACAAUUAAAUAUUGUUGAUUGCAACCUCAAUAAACACCAACCUCUAAGAUGCUAUAACCACUGUCAUAUUUUCUACUUUGGACUAAGCAACUACUAAGCUUUUUGUCAUAGAUAUUUGUCAUUUUGAUAUGGAUACAUCAGUAAUAUUAGCAACGAUGUAAGUAAUAUAUUCUAGGCCCAUUCUAAAUAAUUACCGUUAUAAGUAUGUAGACAUUACCAUAAGUAAGAACAAUGACAUGUUGUUUUUCAUGUACUUAUAUUUUUUUCAUAAAUUUUAACUAUUAUAUUAAACUUAUUAUUAUUACCCUCUAAGUGAACUCUUAUGAAACUGAUGUACCGAUAGUGCAAAAUCAAACUUUAUUCAUUAAAAGUUAAAAAAUGACAGUUACAUAGUAAUAAACUAUUUUGAAAGUGUCAAUAACAGUUGAUAUUUCAGAUUACUUAUGGUUCCUCUGUCAAAAUUAUCACCACAUUUCAUCUUUCUUUUAAAAUCUUUCAAAUUUGCAUAUUAAAUCAAAAUUUUGAAGUCCUUCUACUUGAAAAAUAAAAAGAAAUCUGUUUCAGCACUAAGAAGAUGCAACAUACAGAAUUAAAAAUGACACAGACAAAGUAAUUUUAAUAAAGGUAUCAUCUUUGAUUACCAUUCACAUCUCUAAUUUAUAUGCAUCAUCAAAAAUUAUUUUAAUAUUGCUCGAAAUAAUUGAUUUUUUCUUAAGGGAUGAACUAAAAUAACAUACAAAUUUCUUCUAUAGGAAAAGGUGAACCCUCAAAGUACAGAAAUCAUUCUGCUAAGAGUGAAGAAAUACAAGCACCAUUGACUGAUAUAACAAAUGGUGAACGACAAAAUUCCUGAUUUAAUAUAAUUUAAAACUUACUUUCUAAUACUCUUCUUCUAUAGGUAUGCAUGGUUACAACAUAUUACCUGAUCUAAAUGUAUUACCUGAAGGUAAUACAACUUUAUUAGUUCUUUAAAUUUUUCAUAUGAACUAGAUCCUAAGUUAAAACUUUGUUACUUCAAUAUAAUUUUGCAAAUAAUAUAGAAAUAUAAUUUAUUUAAUUUGUAGAUGUACAAACACAUAAUUCUCUGCCAGAUUUAAAUGAAACUCCAAUAAUGGAAAGUAAGUAUUUUAAGUUCUCGUGAGUUAUCAGUUAAAAAUAAUAUACACUGCACUAUACAGACAGCUAAUUAGCGUAUCAUUCUUAUUAAAAACAUAGGCAAUAAUAAACAACACUGUCGUACAAGGUAUGUUCCUAAAAAAUAUUUAUUUAUCUUUAAAAAUUACAUUAUAUUAGAAAAGAGUUUUUGAAUCAACAAUCUUUAGUUUACAAAAAGAUUAUUACAUUUACAUCUAUAUACAAUCAUAAAUUUAUAUACAUAACAGAACAACUUCAACAUAACAUAGAAGAUGAAGAAGAAGAAGAAGAGUAUCUAGGUAUGACAAUCAUACUUUGCUUACUUCUCUUACUAAUUAGAUAUAAAACUAUCUUGAUAAAUAUAAAUAAAUAUCAAAAAUUCAAACAUAUUAAUUGAUUUUGCCAUCACUUUUUAUAGAUGUUGAUGUUGAAUGUGGCGACAUUUGCAUUGAAGGCUCUUCUGAAAAACUCUUCAUUUAAUAUUAAAAUAAUUUGAUCAUUUAAACCUAUAAUGUUAUGUCUUUAACUAUAUGUACUUGCAAUUAUAGAAUAUUGGAAUAUAGGAGAUGCUACAUAUGAAUGUGGGCAUUGUGAAGCUAUUUUUUGGUAUGAAGAAAGAACACACAAGCAUUAUAAAUCAAAAAAAAUAAUUUUCACAUUGUGCUAUCAACAAGGAAAAAUAAAGCUUCCAUACCUCAAGAAGCCUCCUCAAAUUUUGGAACAACUAUUGUUUGGAUCAGGUUAGAGAAUCAUAGGUUUUAAUAUCACCAUAUUCAUGUCUACCUGUAUUAACCUUCUUCAUUAUUAAUUUUUUUUUACUAUAGGUCCUAAAUGUAGUCAUUUUAGAGAAAAAAUAAGGAGUUAUAACUCUAUGUUCUCAUUUACAUCAAUAGGAGAAAAGAUGGAUGCCUCAAUCAAUCAGACACGAGGGCCAAGAACAUUCAGAUUAUUUGGACAAAAUUAAACAUUCAGAUUAUUUGGACAAAAUUAUCAUCAAAUUGGUAGCUUACUACCUCCUGAAGGAUCCAUUCCAAAAUUUGCACAGCUGUAUAUUUAUGAUAUAGAAAAUGAAGUUUCAAAUAGAAUUAAUACAGUCGGGUAAGUAUUGUAACAUCAUUAUAUAAUCUCAUGAAAUUAAAAAGUACUUUAAAGAUCUUACUAAUAUAAUAUAUCUUUUUUUAGAAGAUAAAAUUUUUAUAUUAUAUGUCUUUUGUAGUCGUGGACGGGAUGUUAAUAAGCUUCAUGUUUAAAUUGUUGCUGAUCUAAAACAAAUGCUUGACGAUAAUAAUAUGUUGGUCAAGACUUUUAGAAUGGUGAGAGAUAGAUUCCAAAAAAAUGACAGCUUCAAUGUGAAGUUGAAACUAAUAGGAAUAAGAGCUACGGAUGGUAGAAGAUACAACCUACCAACAAUAUCCGAAGUAGCUACUUAGGUGGUUGGAGAUAUUAAUGUUUCUAGAUCUAACCAUGAUAUCAUUAUAGAAACACAAUCUGGACAGCUGCAAAGGAUCAAUGAACUGAAUGUUGCAUACUUAGGCCUACAAUAUCCUUUACUUUUUCCUUAUGGUGAAGAUGGGUAUAGAAAGGACAUUCCUUUAAGUUCAGGUGAUAAGGGAAGGCAACGUGUUAGUAUGCGUGAAUUUUUUUCUUACAGAAUUCAAGAAAAAAAAAAGAAAAGUUCCUACCAUUGUGGUUUCAAGAAGAUUAUUUCAGCAAUUUUUAGUUGAUGCCUAUACAAUGAUGGAAUCUUCUCGGCUGAAGUUUAUUCGGACUCAUCAAAAAUAAUUUAGAGUUGAGUUUUAUAAGAUCCUAUCAGAUGCAAUUUUACAUGGAGACGUUGAUCCUUCAUCGCAAGGUAAAAGAGUAUUUUUACCAUCAAGUUUCACAGGAGGUGCACGAUAUAUGCUUUAGAAUUAUCAAGAUGCUAUGACAAUAUGCAAAUGGGCUGGAUAUCCUGACCUUUUUAUCACAUUUACUUGCAAUCCUAAGUGGCCAGAGAUUACUAGAUUUGUAGGAAGAAGUAGGAUAUUUAAAAUUAAAUUGGAUCACUUGAUAAAGAAUUUGAAGGCCAAUCAAGUAUUUGAAAAAGUAAAAAUAGGUUUGUCAUAUUUACUAUUUUAUUUGAAUAUACAUUAGGACACUCAUAAAUCAUUAUAUAUAUCAAUUUAUUUAUAAUAAACUUACUUGAUUUAUAAUGUAGUGAUAUAUACCAUUGAGUUCCAAAAAAGAGGAUUGCCUCAUGCCCAUAUAUUGCUUUUUCUUCAUGAGAGUCAUAAAUUUUCUUGUGCAUCAGAUAUUGAUCGAAUAAUUUCAACAGAAAUAUCAAAUAAAGUCAAUGAUCCUCAUUAUUAUGAUGCUGUGAAAAAUAUGAUGAUUCAUGGCCCAUGUGAUUCUACUGACAAAUUUUCACUGUGCAUGCAGAAUGGUAAAUGUACAAAGCACUUUCCUAAAAAGUUUGUUCACACAACAACAGUUGAUGAAGAAGGGUAUCCUGUUUACAGAAGAAGGGAUAAUGGUAAAACCAUUGAGAAAAGUGGCAUUCAUUUGGAUAGCAGAUAUGUGGUUCCACACAAUCGCAAGUUGUUGUUAACAUAUGGUGCUCACAUUAAUGUGGAAUAGUGCAACCAAUCAAGAUCUAUUAAAUAUUUAUUCAAGUAUGUCAAUAAAGGAUAUGACCGUGCAAAUGCUGUUUUUUCACAAAAUACACAUGUUGAUGGUUCAUCAACUGUUGAUGAAAUCAACAUGUAUUAUGAUUGUCGCUACAUAUCACCAUGUGAAGUUGCUUGAAGAAUAUUUAAAUUUUCAAUUUACCAUAGAGAACCACCAGUGGAAAGACUAUCAUUCCAUCUUGAAGAUGAACAAUUGUGUCUUUUUUUCUGAUGAGGAUCCAAUUGAAAAUGCUAUCAAUAGAUCAGCUGUUAGGAAAUCUCAAUUUUUAAGUUGGUUUGAGGCUAACAAGAAGUUUUCGAAAGCAAGAGAUUUGACUUACGCAGAAUUCCCUCUUAAAUUUUUGUGGGACAGAAGUUUAAAAAAAUGAAAAAGUAGAAAAAAUUCUGCAUUUUCUAUUGGGAGGAUCUUCUUUGUUACUCCAGGGAGUGGAGAUAUAUUAUCUCAGGUUGUUAUUUAAUGUAAUUAAAGGGCCAACUUCCUAUGCAGAACUUAGAAGAAUCAACAGCAAUGACCAUGCUACUUUUAGAGAUGCAUGUUAUGCACUUGGUUUGUUGGAUGACGACAAAGAAUACAUCGAUGCUAUAAAGGAGGCAAGUACUUGGGGAAUGCCAUCUUAUCUUCAACAAUUGUUCGUCAUGUUAUUGAUAGCUAAUUCAAUGUCACGACCUAAAGUUGUUUGGCAAACAUCAUGGCUGCUACUUUCAGAAGAUAUCCUUUGUGAACAAAGAACAUUACUGGAUAACCCAGGUACAAAUAAUAUAAUUGAAUAAUAACAAAAAUAUUUUUAAAUUAUUUCUAUUUAUAAUUCAAGUAUAUUUAUUUAAUUGCUAUACAGAUUAAACAAGAAAUCCAUAUUAAUAUCUGAAACAGUUUUAUUACUACUUUAUUUCAUUGGGUUUUCUCACUUCUAAACAAUAAAUUAUUUUAAUAAUAUUAGAAUCAUAUAUUUUAACAUAUAUCUAUAAAUGCAUAUUUCACUUCGGAUUUACAGUAAUUUGUGUAGUUCACUUAUCCAUCAUAUAUAAUGGUAUUCUACGAAAAAUUAAUAAACUUUAGCAAACAUCCAUAAAUUACAUAUAAAUAAAACUAUUUAAUUGACUUAUAUACAUGAUUAUGUGCUUUAUUUUUUAUUAUUAUAAUAUUUUUGUCAUUCAGAAUCAAAUCUAACAGAUGAUGAACUGAGAAAUCGCUGCUUACAAAAGUUGAACAAGAUUUUAAGAAGUUGUGGAAAAAGUUUUAAUGAAUUUUCAACAAUAUCAAAAUCAUGUUAUGAUCAUAAAGAAGUUGAUCGUACCAAUACACUCAUCAAUGAGGAAUUACGCUAUAAUAGACGUAAUUUGGCACAAGAACAUCAACAACUAUUAAUGCAAUUAACAGUUGAGCAGAAGUAUGCAUAUGAUAAAAUCAUGACUGCAGUGAACAAAGACAAAGGGGGAUAAUUCUUUUUAUAUGGUCACGGAGGAACAGGCAAAACUUUUCUUUGGAAAACAUUGUCUGCUGGCAUAUGCUCUAAAGGUGAUAUAGUACUAAAUAUUGCAUCAAGUGGUAUUGCAUCUCUGUUGUUACCAGGAGGAUGGACAACUCAUUCAAGAUUUGUGAUUCCUCUGACUAUAACUGAAGAUUUAACAUCAACAUUAAGCAAGGAAGUCCACUAGCUAAGUUGAUGGUUAAGGCAAAGUUAAUUAUUUGGGAUGAGGAACCAAUGAAGCAUAGGUACUGUUUUGAAGAUCUUGAUCAAACUUUAAGAGAUAUUCUAAGAUUUAAAGAUCCAUCAAAUUUAGAUCGGCCAUUUGGAGGAAAGACGAUUGUUUUUGGAGGAAAUUUUAGACAAAUCUUAUCGGUAAUUACUAAAGGUACUAGGCAAGAUAUUGUAAAUGCAACAAUAAAUUCUUCCUAUUUGUGGACGCACUGUCAUAUUCUAAAACUGACAAAGAAUAUAAGAUUUCAAGAUAGUCGAUUUGAUGCAGAUGUGACUGAGUUAAAAUAAUUUUCUGAUUGACUUUUGACAAUAGGUGAUGAAAGGGUGGAAUUUUCCACGGAUAACACUGAGAAAGUAAAAAUACCUGAAGAUAUUCUCAUAGAUAAUUGUGAUGAUUCAAUAUUUGAAAUUGUAGAAAGUACAUAUUUCAAUUAGUUGAAACAUUCUAAUGAUAUGAAAUACAUUCAAGAAAGAGCAAUUCUUGCACCUACUCUUCAAAUGGUGGAAUCGGUGAAUGAUUACAUGGUUUCUCUCAACUGUGGAUAGGAGAAGUCAUAUUUAAGUUUCGAUACAGUUUGCAUGUCUGAUCAUUCAUUUACAUCUUUAGGACAUGUGCAUACACCUGAAUUCGUAAAUAGUAUUAAAUGCUCAGGUAUUUCAAAUCACUCUAUCACUUUGAAGGUAGGUGUUCCUGUAAUGUUGUUAAGAAAUAUAGAUCAAUCAGCAGGUUUGUGUAAUGGCACAAGAUUAAUCAUCACAAGACUCGAAAAUCGGGUAAUUGAAGCGAAAGUGUUAUUAGGAAAAGAAUGUGGUAAUAAGGUUUUUAUUCCGAGAAUCUCACUUACUCCAUCUGAUUCACGAAUACCUUUUAAAUUCCAACGAAGGCAGUUUCCAGUGAUCGUAUCUUUUGCCAUGACCAUCAAUAAAAGUCAAGGUCAAUCGUUGUGUAGUGUGGGAUUAUAUUUGAAGAAGACUGUGUUUACUCAUGGACAAUUAUGUGUUGCCCUUUCUUGAGUAACAUCUAGAAAAAGGCUGAAGAUCUUAUGUUAUAAUGAAGAUGAGAAAAUAACAAAUGAAACUACAAAUGUAGUGUAUAAAGAAGUCCUCUCUAAUUUAUAGGUAACUAUUUUCUUCUACAUGUAAUCUACUUGGAUAUGUUUUGCUUUCCCUUUUAAAGUAAUAUGUUAUUAAGCUUUACUGUAUGAGUGUUUAAUUUCUGUUAUUUGUUAAAACUUGCACGUCUUUAAUAGAGAAAUGCAGAAAAAACACUUAUGAGGUCCUAAAAGCUCCAACAAUCACCUAAAGACGUUUACCUGGUAGACUCAGAAACACAAAAAAGACCAUCAAAUAGAGUAGGAAAGUACACAUCAGAAAGUUUGUGCUACAUCUCAGGAAAUCAAAAGUUCAGAGAGACGUACAUAUAAAGAAAGGAAGAGCAAAGAGAGGAGCUUACCUCAAAUUUGGAGAGUUGGUACACACAAUGUGUUGGUGAAGAGAUGUAGAAUAUCAUCUCAAAAAUGAAGCUUCACAACCUAGAAAACAAACAACACUUUGCAGCCGUGGUCAUAGAAGCUCUUAAUUUGCUCACUAAUGAAUCUUAAUGAUGUUCGUCUGCAAAAUAGAGAGAAUGAUUAUAUAUUUUUCAGUUAUUUAUUUCCAUCUCCUUGCAAUUAACACUCCUACUUUUCUUAACACAUGAUUAAAUAACUAAAUUGCAGUCAAGAGAACCUUCGACUUUGUCAUGAAAUUACGUCAAAGAAGUCUAUGGAUUUUACGUGCAUAGUUAGACAUUACACUACAAGUUUAAUAAAGUAAGUAAAUAAGGAAUACUUUCAUAGAUCAAAAUUUACAUAAACAAGGAUUACAAGAACUAAUUUCAGCUUAACAGAACAUACCACAAAUGGAAAAUACCCCAAGGUGGUUCCGAGAGCCGUAGAGAAUGGCAAUAGUUUCAGCUAUGCUCCCCCUGAAGCAAAUCAAGAAAACCAUUCAUUGUCUAAAUCAGUAAAGAUUCUUACUUUUGCAAUCUUAUCAAUAUAAAUAUAGAAUAAAAAUGAAGAGAAAAGUACUUUAAUCUAUUGGACGCAUUAAGACGGUUGGAGGUAAAUCUAUGACUGCACAAAAUAUGCUAAGUAAUCUGAUGUACCGAAAGCUGGCAGGUUAAUUUGAUAUCAAAAUAUGUCAGCAUGUUCAGACUUUCCUAAAUGACUAGCCGGAGAAGUAACACAGAAUCUCUGAGUGCAAAAAGAUAGUCGUCCACAACCAUGUGAGUGACAUGGACUAGAUACCCUUCUUGCUGACUAACAUAAAUAAGUGAGGACAAAAUGCCAAACCAUCAACAGUUGCAUAGGAAAGAAUUUCUACUAUUUACAGAGUUACAUUAGAAAAGAAAUAUAGAUGAUUAGUCCAUGCAAAGACAGGAGAUUUUAAGCUCACCAAUCAUCUCUUCUUUCAUCUUUUGUCGCUUCUCAUCGGCUAAUGGCUUUAAACGUAUCACACUUCUCCUAGCUUGGUCAUGUGAGGGUUCCAAUUCCAAGAUUUUUGUCAUGUCUACAAGAUUUUUAAAAACCAAAUAGAAUAAGAGCAGAAAAAACCAAAGUAGAACUCCAAACAACAACAACAUACCCAGUGUAAUCCCACAAGUUGGGUCUUGGAAGGGUAGUGUGUACACAAACCUUACCCCUAUAAGGUAGAGAGGUUAUUUCUGAUAUACAAAGUAGAACUUCAGUAAUUUAAUUAUUCACCAAUAACUUGAACCAUUUGAGUGGUGUGAAAUUAUUACGAGAGGCAAUGAGUAACAUACAAGCACUCUUUUUUUAAAUUAUUUUUUCCGAUAAGAGAGUGGGAACAAGGAGAAGGCGUAGGAGAGCCUAACUGGAAAACACAAGAUUUCCACAAAGUAGCCCCGUAAAUGCGAGUAUGGAUAUUACUUAUUUAGUGAUGCAGUUAAGAAGUACCAGUCACAAUGACAUUGUACCGAAUAAACAUGGUACAAAUUCAGAACCAGAUAUUUACCAGUAAUAACCUCAUCAAAGUGUUCAAGCUUUUCAUGAGCCUCUGGCUCUUCUAACCAGAGCCUUAAUAUAUGUAGGAUUUAGUUCUAAUGCUUUAGUGCAGUCCUUGGUUGUCUCUUCAUGUCUCCCCUGUAAAUGAAAAAUUAAUAUCGCUAUUAGAUACAACAAAAACUCACACAGAUAAACACAAUUGAUAUCUUACACGCUACAUGAGAAAAGUAUCAAACAAAGAUAUGGAAAAAACAAAGGAAAAUUGUGAAAAUUUUUCCUAAUAUGAGGUGAAAGUAGAUGUAAUAUCAUGUGUGCAAAUUGAAAUAUUUUUCAACUCGUGACCUAUACGUGUGCAAAGUAAACUUUCAAAUUUUUAUUUUUUUAAAUUACAGAAAAAUGGUGAGACGACAAUUAUUUCUGGUAUGCCGCUUACUGGGAAGCAAUACACAAAAGGAUAGGUACCACAUUCUUUCUCUAAGCUACACAUCUUCUCACCCCCUAACUUUCUCCGUUCCCAGUAACUCUAAUGUAAAACCACACAACCAAAUGCCAAACCAUCAACAGUUGCAUAGGCAAGAAUUUCUGCUAUUUACAGAGUUACAUUAGAAAAGAAAAUAUAGAUGAUUAGUUCAUGCAAAUACAUGAGAUUUUAAGCUCACCAAUCAUCUCUUCUUUCAUCUUUUGUCGCUUCUCAUCAGCUAAUGGCUUUAAACGUAUCACACUUCUCCUAGCUUGGUCAUGUGCGGGUUCCAAUUCCUAGAUUUUUGUCAUGUCUGCAAGAUUUUUAAAAACUAAAGGAAAUAAAAGCAAAAAAAUACCGAAGUAGAACCCCAAACAACAACAACAUACCCAGUGUAAUUCAAUUAGCUACUAACUAUUAUGAAAUUCUCAACAAUUAAUAAUAACAGUUAGUAGCAACAACUGGUGUAUCAAGAUCUAGAUAGAGAAUAUAAAUAGCAAAUUACCGCUUUUUUAUUGUCGCUAAAGACCAUUUUUGUUGGUGCUAACUGUUUUAAGAAAUUUUUAUGAUGCAACAUGCAAUUCCAUUGCCAAAACAGAUGUAAUAUUACAAGGAGUAUCAAUCCAAGCUAGCAAAAGUUGCAUGCAGACAGAAAGCAGCAUCCAUACUAAAGGAUGCACUCUACACUUUAAGUGCUAGAACUGUUGAUUUCUUACAGAAUUACUACUUCAAUCAUUAUCUUAACAAAUUUCUACUCCUCAUCAGUAUAGUUCUUAUCUUGUCCGCAUAUUCACUCGCAUCGUCAAGGUAAAAUUAUGGGUCGAUUCUAAGAUUAUCAAGAAAAUGGUUAGCUAUGACCUAUUUAGUGAUGAAUUAGUAAGGAAGUUCAUAACUAAUAAUUUUAGUUUUUUUGGAGUGAUGAGUCAUAGACCAAUCCGCUUAACAUGUAGGUUGGGAUAUACGUUGCAUUUUGAUUCAACUCGUGACCAAUACGUGUGCAAAGUAAACUUUUAAAUUUUUAUUUUUUAAAAUUGAAGAAAAAUGGUGAGACGACAAUUGUUUCUGGUAUGUGGCUUUAUGUCGCUUACUGGUAAGGAAUACACAAAAGGAUAGGUACCACAUUCUUUUUCUAAGAUACACAUCUUCUCACCCUCUAACUUUCUCCGUUCCCAGUAACUCUAAUGUAAAACCACACAACCAAAUGCUCUAGAUUUCUUAUACCAAACAUUGAGGUAGUUAGACAACUACAGUCAAAUGAUUCAUGAUUGCAAUACCCUCUCAAUGAAUUAUUGGAGCUUUCAAACUACUAGACAAUAGCCAGUUUCACAUCACGCCAGCAUUAAGCCCAGCACAUCGAACCCUAAGAAGUAAGAUGUUACUGGCUUAGAACGGGAUAAAUAAUAAUACUAAAAGUCCCUUUUGUACUACUCCUAGAUCAGGAAAAAAGUAAUAACACGUUAAUCAUUCUCUUGUCCUCCCAAACUUCUAAAGAUGACCCGUUUUGGCUGGAUCUUUUGUAAUAGUACUGAAAUACUCUUAUCUUAUAAUUCAGCCAGUGAAAACAUACUUCAUAUAGUGAACUCCAUAUAUAGACUACACAUUCAGUUCGUUCAUUAUGUUGAAUCGAUCUCUAGCAAAGGUCAAGUCAUUUUUUGCAACCCUUAAGCCUUCUAAUCCUUCAAUAGAUACUUCUUCCAAUGAAGAGAGAGUGUCUAAGAUGUCAGUAGCAGACAUAACCAAUACCAUAAAAAUAUGAUAAAAUGAAAAGCACAUUUUUCAAUUAACAUGCAUCUUUGAACUUCACAAUUAUGAGUGAGGAAACCGACUAGAGCUGUUAAGUUGAUCAACCAGAUUCUUUCAUAACUUUGCGGAGGUUUGUAGCUCGGAAACACAAUGUGAGCAUAAGAAUGAGCUAAAGUAUAUACACACUGCUUAUUGCAAGUAUGCCUCUUACUCGGUUAUUUUGGUGCCAAGUUCAAAGGGAGUAAAUUUUAGUGAAGAGAGACUAUACUUUCAAAAGGUUGAGAAAGAUCAUACUAGAUGGUAUUGCGAAAUCAAUACAACAUGGAGACAUUAUCCAGUUUGCAAAGAUUAACAUUAGAAAAUUAGUGAAGGUCUGUAACUAGAAGAAGCAACUAACCCAAGCUAAAGGAAGUUCUAAAGAUAGAGUUAAAUAUCAAGGAACAAUGCUCAUACACUAUUCAUACAAGGCAAACGUAGGUGAUGGAAUGUUAUUGUAGUGAAUGCAAGUGCAUCCCAUAUAGCAAAUCAAACUAAUUGAAAAAAUAUGAAGCUUACAUCACAAAGGAACAAGAUUACAUUUAAAGACACAAUUGGAAAAAUCUACACCAAUACGAUACAAUAACUACAGGAUACAGAACCCCUCCAGCAAGCUGAAGAGGAUCCCAUUGACAGAUUUAGACAGACAGACUAACAAACAGAACAAGGGGAAAAAGAAGACGCCCUUACACCAGCGCUUAGAUAAAUAACACUAUUUCAACUGAAAUCUUUCAACAUACUUCUUUUUAUUAUACAGCUCUCAUCAUUCUAAAACGAAUGGACUAAGCCUAUGAAGGAAUAUAAGUUUUUAACUUUCUGCUUUUGAUUCUAAAAACCGAACCAAGAGAAAAAUAUGACAUGCUAAUUAGCAAUCAGGCAAUACAGAUGAGUCUCAAAUAAAUGCAAGAGAAAAAUAUUUCAUCAAAUAUCCAAUUCUAACAUAUGAGAUCCAAAGAGAGUAACAGACAAGACGUUUGACCACUGAAAUAUGCGUUGAUGAAUGGUAUUAGGAAAACCUUCUAGGAUGAACCCUUCUUAGAGAGGUACACUUUCAUUGGGAGCAGCGUACCCCAAUUUUACAACAAACUUCAAUUCCUCGCUAAACUAAAUCACUACGAACAUACCAGUACGGAUUAAUAUAGAAAGCCACCUAAACAAUUACUAAAAUCAACCAAAACAGAGCAAGACAACAGAAACUAUUAGUGUACAGAUUAAUAUAGAAAGUCACUAAAACAAGUAAUAAUUUAUGAUUUACAAGUGAAGUAAAAACUUCCUUAUCAAAUUAAGGAUCUCAAAAGGGAGAGGAACUUUAGCAACUUAUAUUCUUGAAAAAAUAUAAGUUCGAAUUACUGACAUGCACUGAAAAACAUAAAUUAUGAAGGACAUUUAAGAUCAAAUUCGAAUUACUGACAUCACCGAAAAACAUAAAUUAUGAAGGACUUUUUAAGAUCAAAUUGUAAAAAGGUGUGAUCUCAUACAUGUUUGUUUUUCAAGUUCCAAUCAUGUCUCCUUUAACUGUUUCAAAAGCAGCUUUAAGUUUAGCUGCUUCACCUGUGAAAGUGCUUCUAUCUCUGCAAUCUUAGAAUUCUUUUCUGCAAUCAAAGUCUAUAAGGAACAAGGUUUUAGAAGAUAGAAAGUACAUUGGUCAACACACAAGUUCUAUUUAAUAUUUCACCAAAGAUAUACACAUCUGAAACUCAUGCAGUUCUAUUUAACAUUUCACCAAAGAUAUACACAUCUGAGACUCAUGCAUGCAUCUGAAAAAAGAAGGUUAACCACAUAUACCUUAAAUUCGUGAACACAACAACAAAAUUAAACUCACAAAAUAGAUACAUAAAACCACACAUCAAAAAAUAGCUCCAAUUCUCAGUUAAUCUAAGCAAAUAAUGAUUGAUGAUGGAAAAGCUCACCUUGGAUCUGAACAUCAAGAGACAAGGCUUUAGAGAGUAAUGUAGAACUUCAUCGGGAGUUUCAAGAUUAUAAACCCAAAAUGAAUUAAUUUUUUAUCUCAAUAAAAGAGCUCAAAAUAGCUCAUCUUCUUAGAGUAAUCGAGAAAUAAUAUCUCAAAGGCCUCUCUAUAUAUGAAGCUUGGAACAACAAUGAAGCUUUGAAAGAAAAGAAGAAGCAAAUUAAGCCUAAUUUUACUGUCAAAUUGAAGUUUAUUGUGAAGUAAAGCAAAUGAAAAAUUGACCAUCACUAUGCGGACAAAACAAGAAGACGAUGGAUAAACAAUUGUGAUUAGACAAAAUAACAAAGUACAAAAAUAUCUCUACUUUUCUAAAUGAUUUUUCUCUUUUUUUAAAAAAAAUUAUUUUGGACCUUUUCGGAUUUGGGUCAUUCUUAAACUCUUCUUUAUUUUGGGCCAAUUUAAAUUUGUCAAGUUAGCCAUUUUUCCUUUUCCACAAAAAAAUAAUAAAAAAAAGAAAGGUACAUUUACUAAUUAACCUCUUAAAAAUUUUACUAUCAAUUUUGAAAAUUUUAAAAAGAAAAAUAAUUACAAAAUAUAAAAAAUAUUUAAUUAAUGCUUUCUUGAUUUGAUAAGGUGGACAACUAGUACGAGAUAAUAUUUUUUUAAAAUGACCAACUAAUAUUAAAUAAAGGAAGUAUAUAUAUUUUAGAUGGAUACGCAAUUCAAAAUAUAUUUGAAUUUUUUUUUUCAAAAUUUGUGAUAAAAAUUAAAUUAUAUAUUUUGUGAUUAUAAAUCAUCUCAUUAAGAGUCAAAUCGAUAUUUUAUACUAAUAACUUUUAAAUAAAUGGAUUGUUCAUUUGGGAUUUAGUGAGAAGAAAAAUGUAUUAUUUAAUUUCGAAAAUGGUGAUGAAGAUAAUAUGCGUGCACAGAAAUACAUCUUAUGUUCAAUUGCAUUUUGAGGAAACAAUAUGUUUGUCAAAAUUUUAAUUUCUUGAAAUACAUUUUCAAUAAUUGUUAAAAUCGUAUAAUUUUACUCAAUUAUUCACUCCUUAAAUAUAAAUAAUAUAUAACAUUUAAAGUAAGUAAAUAUAUAAUGAAAUAAUAGAUACUAUAUAUCAUACUAAAUGUUACUAAUGCAUUAACAAUGAACAGAAGAAUAUGUUUAGAAUAAAAUAUUCUUAAUAAACACAUAGUUCAUGUACAUAAAUGUAUAUAUUAUUGUCCUUUGCUAUCUUACUUUGAAUUGUCUCAAGAAAUUCAAUAUCAUAUUCAAUCAAAGAUUUGCACCUAUUAACUUUUAUUAAACUUUUAAUGUUUAUGUAAAAAUUAUAACACUCUCUGUUUAAUAGUACUAAACAAUGAAUAAAUGAUUGUGAAUAAAUGAUAUAUACUACGAUUAAUAAAAUAAUAAAAAAUUAAAUAUGAUCCAAAGAAUAAGAUAAUAAUAUUUAUAAUUUAUUUAUAGUAAUUUCCGCGCAUCGCAUGGGUAAUUAUACUAGUUAUUCUAAAUAUAGAGUAAUUUUUAACGGUAGGAACGACUCAAAAUGUACUAGAGAAUAAAAUUAAAAUGUUUUAUAUAAAUAUAGUAGAAAUGUAAAUUUGGACUUCUCUAUUUCUUUUGGCAACAAUGCGCAUAAAUAGACCUUAUAAAUUCACAUUUCACACUUUAUUUUCAACUGCACUUGAAUCUUUUAGGGCCCGUAUGGCCACGGAUUUUUUUUUUAAUUUUCGGAAAAAGUUUUUACCAUGUCAAAUACAACUCUAAAUUGACGUUUUACCAUGUGAAUUCUAAAAAAAAAAAAAAAAAGUUAUAUUUGGAAAAGUGAGAAACAAGAAAAAAAAAUAUUUUCACUUUUUCCCGUCUUCAUUCUCUUAUAAAAAUUCAAAAAUAAUUUUAAUUAUAUUUAUCAACAAACAUAACUCCAACUCCAAUUUAAAAUUUUUUAAUUUUUAUGGCCAAACCUCCACUUAAUUAGGAGUUCGACAUAACUUAAUAAUGAUUAAACUUUUACAUUUAUACUUAAAUUUCACUUAACAUAUUAAUUAAAUAAUUUAUUUAAAAUUUAGUAGACCGUCUUUUUUAGGUUCGCCUCUCGAUUAAAGUGAAGUAAAUGCAUUCACAUGUGCUAUCCUAAUUCAAAUGCGUAGUUAAAGAAGCCUCAACCAUUUUAAAAACCCGUGAUGCUUUUUUUUUUACUCCUGCUCCUUUCACUUGAGUUGCAUCUUUGAUUUAGACGGUGAAAGUCCGAGGCGGAGUUAAGAUUUUAAGUUUAUGAUUUUGAAUCUUUUUCAUAUCCUCUUCUCUUUAUUAGUAAUUGCAUAAUUUGCUAUUCUUCAAUAUGUUUUUAUUAUUUGUUACUUCAUUUUGCUUUGUAUCUUGAUUUUUUUUCUUGUAGCCCUUAUCUGAAUAACUUUUCUUAUGAGCUGAAGAUCCAUCGAAAUAACUUUUUUACCUCAUAAAGCUAAAAAGGUUUGCAUACGUUUAACCCUUCCUAGGCUCCAUUUGUGGGAUGACACCAAGUAUAUUGUUAUUGUUGUUGCUGAAUUCUGAAUUCUAGAAAACGAAAAUUUAUUUGGUUUAUUUAUAAUUUAAUUAUAUAAAUUAAGUGAAUUCUUAAACAUAAAUAUAAUACCCGAGCCAAAGCUAUUAGGUUCUGCUGAAUCCGGUAGCCAAGCUCUAGUUGAGAAAACUUUUUACCUUUAGGGAAUCAUAGAUUGCUUAAAGUCAUCUACUGCAGAUCUAGAGUAGCUCUUACAUGAUUAACCUUACAGGACAAAAGCUCUUCAUGAUUUCUUCUCCUGAACACAAUCGCAACAAAUAAUAUAUUUGCAUGCGGAGAAAAUAUAUGUACUUAAGCAUGAAUGUACAAUUACAAAUUAACCAAUGGAAAAAGGGAGGGCAUGCCAACAGGGGCGGAUCUAGAGGGUAGCAACUAGCAAGGGGUGUUCUCGACAAAAAAUUACACUGUAUAUGUAUAUAUAAGGUAAUCCCUAAACAUAAGAUAAGAGAUCACUCAGUAGUUAAGUGAGCUCAAAUUUUACCGUGAAAUUUUAAAUUCAAAUCUCUAAAAACACUGCUGAUGCCGACACCUUGGUAAAAAAAAAAGUUGAGGACAUUGUGGAAGGACCAACGUAUGGGACCAUAUGUGGAGUAGUAGCUUUUCCUUUUAGCUUUGUCCUACGCAAUCAGGGGCGGAUCCACGUGGUAUUCAGGGUUUCAUCCGAACUCUUUCGGCAAAAUAUUACGUUAUAUAUAUAACGUAGAAAAAUCUAUAUUUAUGUAUAUAUAUUAAUUUUGAACCACUUGAAAACAAGGUUGUUGGAUAGCCUAGUGGUUCUAUGUUUGCUUUUUGUGUCGCUCCUUCAACCCUCGGUCGUGGGUUCGAUUCGGGUUCGAUUCCCACCACCAGCGAAGGCUUUAUUUUUUAAAAUCUGUUUUGCACAACUGCUAUAGUAGCUGUCCUGUGCAGCUGUAAUAAAAAAAAAGGACGCAUGUACAACUACUAUAACUUUGAAAUUAUAUUUUGUUGACGUAUUCACACAUUUAUAUUUUUAUUUUUUCGAACCUCCUAAAAUAAAUUCCUAGAUCCGCCACUGUGCAGCCAUCCAUUAGUAAAUUAUGCUGGUAGGAUUAUUAAAGGCCAUCAACUGCUGCUUCCUACUAUUAAAAACCAGCAGGUUAGAAUGGAAAGAGUAAUUUAAACCGUGCGAUUCUUAGACCUACAAAGUGAUGAUGUGCUUAUGAAAAGAGGCAGUAACUGUAAUUCUGGAGAACAGGUAGCCUUUCCAACCACAAAAUUAAUUAGAAGGGGAAAUAUUUCAGUAAGAAAGCCACAAUUUUGUGGACAAUAUAACUAAUGUGCCGAUAUUUUCUUUUGUCUGAUUUUCACAUUUAUUUUGGUUCAUUCACUAUUAAGAGGAUCUCCUUAAAGAUAAUCUGGUUGAGAAUUCGAAUUGAUUCUUUAUCAUUUUAAGUCGAGAUGCAUCACACAGCGAACUCAUAUGAUCUAAAGGGCAAAUAGUGUUUCACAAUUUUUGAUAAAAGCUUAAUUGGACUACCUAACGAAAAAGGGUAUCCUGUCCUUAUCGAGGUUUUUAAGGCAUGUAACCUGCCAUGUGGCUACAACUUACGAACAUCAAGCGUAGGGUUUCAACAGCCCAUGUGACAAGAGGACAGCAACCUUCGAAAAUAAUGCCAAGACAAUAUUACAGAGAUGAUAAAUAGUACUCCCUCCAUUCUAUAAUAAGUAAAUGGCCAAACUACAACCCUAAGUUUGGCACAAUCUUUCACUUUGACAUCUUAAGUGCAUGGUGUUCAUUUUUAGCACCUAAAGCAAUCCUCAAAUGUGUUAUUUUAGCACUUUUUUCAUUAGCAGCAAAUAAAUACUACAUGUGCGCACUACACGCGCUAAUAACAUAAAAAUUGACGAAUAAAACGCAGACAUUUGUUAUUUCUCUUAAUAUUAAUUUUAAAAUAAUUAAUUUAAUUAAAGUAAAAAAAUUACCAAUUAAAUGUUGACACUUUGCAUUUUUAAUCCAAAUAAUUAUACAAAAAGUGAAUUAUAAUUAUUCUCUCCCCCAACCCCCACACACUAUAUCUAUCUUCUCCUGCCAUCCACCGACCCCUACCCUUCACCUGCUUCUCCACUAUUCAGUCAUCUUCUCCAAUUUCUACCCAUUUAUCCUCUGCCCACCCAUCUCAACCCUCCACAACCAAAAUCUUCUCUUCAAUUACCUCUUAAUUCACAAUCAUUUUCUUUUAAAAAAAAUGUUAAGAAUUUAUUCCAAAUAAAAUCUGUUAAAGAUUUAUUGAGAUUUCACAAUUGGAGGAAAUUUUCACAUUCGAAUUGUAUUUGACAUUAUUUUUUUGUUAUGUUAAUUCUAAAAUCUAUCUCAAAAAAUUUCACCAUCAAAGGAGUUUAAAUUGAGUAAAAUCGAGGCAAAACUUGAGCUAAUUCCUGUUGUUUUUGUCUGCUUAUCUUUACAACUUUUACGAUUUCUAGUGUUACUUUGGUCUGAUUAUGGCCACAUACAACUACUCUUUGGUUGCAGAUUUCUGAUUUCUUUGUCUUUUUUGGUUCAUCUAUAUACAACAAAGAUUUCUGAUUUCUUUGUCUUUUUGAUUUAUCUAUUUACAACAAUCUAGUACUGUUUUAUAUUUUUUUUUGACAUUGGUUAGUUCUUUUUGGUUACUUGUAUGGCAUUAAUUUGUUUUCGAUCGUCUUCUGAGCUUAAUUAUGUUGAUGGCUUUUUAAAUAAAAGCCCCCUAAACUUAGAGAAGGAAUAUUUGUUAAUUGUUGUUAGUGUGUUAGUGUGUUCAUUAGAUUCUUGAAAAAUGUAACCUUCAUUAAUGGAGGUUAAGGUUGUGUGAAGAGACAAUGUGAGGAAAAAGACAAUAGAGAUUUUUAAUAAUUUUUAAAAAAUUUAAAGAUGAAAAAUUAUGAAAAUAUCCUCCAAAAAUUACGAAAAUACUCUCAAACGCGUUUAAAAGCGAGUGUAAUGCACUCUCUUUGCUGAUUCAGCAAAAGGUGUCAAAAUGACACACUUUAUGGCUACUUGAGGUGUCAAAAGUGAACAAUAUCCACUUGAGAUGCCAAAGUGAAAGAUCGUGUCAAGUUUAGGGGGUCAUCGAUAAAUUUGAUCUAAGUUAAUUGUUGAAUUUUGACACACAUGUUAAGAAAAAAAUAAAGAUAUAAAUUUAUCAUGUUUUUUCAUUUCUAUCAUUUUCAAAUUUCAAAACCUUAAUGGAGGAUAAAUUUGAAAAAAGAAUUCAAUAUCUACCUUGAAUUGUGAAUCAUUCACUUAUUUUAAAAAUUUAAAAAUACUUUAACAAUUUACUUAUUAUGAAAUGGGGGGAGUAGUAAAACUUUUUGUGUAGUUGAUCGAAAAGUAACAAAUUGAAUCUUUCAACAGAGAGAAAAUCAUGAAAAUCAUACACAUCUUCUCUCACAUCUCACACUACGCUUUUUUUUUCUUUUAACAAAGGGGGUACUCCGCUCCCUUUCACUUUUGCGUUUUUGAUUUUAACUUGUAGGAAAUUUUUAAAAAGUAAAAUAAAAAUUUAAAUCUAAUGGUAAUAAAUAUGUCAUAUGAAAAAUUGAAUUCAAAGAAUUGUCGACAAAAGAAAAGAAACUUUCUUUAUAAAAUGAAUGAAAGAAAAAAGUAACACAAACAAAUUAAAAUUGAGUGAGUACUCUAUCUUGUAAGAAACAAAAUAUGAAUUCGUUCAUGUAUGGUAGUACUCCCUUUGUUCACCUGUUGGUCCUAGUUCGGACUUGUUAUAAAAUUUGAUUAAAAAAUAAAGUUUUUUAAAAUUUGUGAUGAUAUAAUAUUUAUGUGUUUAUAAAAAAUUUUAAAAAUUGGACAAAGGAGUAAUGGAGUACUAUGUAUUAAGAAAUUUCUUUAUUUUCUCAAAGGAGCAAUUGUAGGUCCUACCUUGCUUGGUUAAAAGCAUUUGGCGCAAAAUGAGACGCAUGAAGAUGCGAGAUGUGCGGCAAGAUUGAACAACCUUUUGGUACAAGACACGUUGAGUGAGUGGCGUGGCGUGUCUGUCCACCCAUUUCAUUCUUCUUUCAUCACAAAAAAAAAGCAGCUCGAUCCGUUAAAUUUUUCGCUAUGUGUGAAAUUCGGAGAAGGCCUCCACCACAACGCACUCUUAUCUUCCAUUUGUGUCGGAGAUUAUUUUCAAAAUUUGAACCCGUCUGAUCACAUGAAAACAACUUUGUAUUACUCCGAGGCUCCUCUUCAAAAGCCAAAUCCCCACAAAUUCACAAAAGCCAAAUCCCAUCUUUGAGGGUCCCUACACUUGCUGAUAGGUGAAAAGUAAGCAGUAGAGUGAUACCAUACUCGUCAAUGAAACAACAGACAGAAUCACGUACCUCCGUAGCCCUCUUAGAUUCACUUGGGUUAUUGUUUAAUUACCUCGUAGGCCUACCCCAUCAGCCGAUCUCAAAUCUCAGAUGAUCUUCUAAAGGAGUAAUCAAAUCAUAAGCCCAAUAGCUUGGAUAAGUCAGGAGUCAAACACUGUUAUCAUAAACAUAUUGUGUUCGCCUUUUGGAUAUCUUCCCGUCCCAAAAUAGUUACCUUUAGUUUCUCGAAAGUUAAUUUGAUUAAUCUCUCAAAUUACGUUACUGUAGAUUACCUAAAUAUUUCAAAAUUAAAAUCUAGACAUUUGGAAACUAUAGGUUACAACCUUUUUUUCAUAAUAAUUCGGUGAAAAAAUAACUUUAAAAUAUUGAUCAAAUUAAAGUUCACACUCGAGAAGUGAAAUGCGACAAGUAUUUUGGGACAUAGGGGGAUAAUUACCCUUGGAACAAAAAAUGUAUCCAUUGUGACAAUUUAAUCAAUCAGUAUCUCUGGGAUUUGGGAAUCUAAUUAAACCUGUAUCAAGAAAUUUUGGAGCAUCUAAAGUGCAACCAAGAUUCUUCAUCUCAAAUGUACAGGAGAUUAAUAGCUUAAAGUUUGGUAAAAUUGAUCCAGAUUUUCAUCAUCCUAGAAGAUUGGAUUUGCUUCCUUACAUAUCUCAUAGCAUGUGCUAAACGUACCAUCUCCACAACAACAUAUCAAGUAUAAUCCCAUUUGGGGACCUUAUCUAUACCUCAGUUAUAGAGAAGAUGUUUCCAUAGACCCUCGGCUCAAGGAAAAGUAGUCCAAAACACCUCCAAGGAAAAUAAUAGUAUCAGGAUUUUCUAAUUUCCCUCUUCACUGUACACAAUGUGUCUGGGAGAGAGUAGUUCUUGGCCUAUGCUAUGCAGCAGACUACUAAAAUAUGUACACUCUGAAAUAAGGCCCUUUUCCUCUCCAUCCAACAUCGCCGAAAGGGCUCAUUUGCUGAUGAAACCAUCAUGGUGAUACAGAUGGAAUUCCUUAAACAUAUUAUAGAAAGGCCUCAAAGGAUCAGCUUCUUAACAUUGCAGUUGCUCUUAUCAAACACCUCCUCAGCUCCUUUGUGAUAAUAGUAGCCUUACAAGUUCUGGACGGAACUAUUUCCAACUGCACGCGCCCAAUCAACUACUUCCUUCAAAGUAUGUCUUUUAUUCUAUCAUAUAUACUUGGCAUUAAGCUUUUACAUCUACUCAAACAUCAUAUCAAUGAGAUUGUGAUUGCCAUUGCUGAAUCACAGAAGGAAACUCAAAUGUUCAAUUGUCACUCCACUACUUGAUUACCUCUUCGAAUUCACUUGUCCUCGUCUUAUGCCUGUGACCCAUAUGGUCCUUUAAAGCAAAUAGGUCUAGGCCAUCUAAGUCUAACCACUAACAGACUACGACACUAAAUGUCUGGCUAUUCUGUUACUGUGGGAGGUAUAGAGAUGAGCAGGAAACUCAGGAAAAUGAAACGCAAUAGAAGUUGUGUGGAAAAGAUGAAGCCAUCUCUAAUUCUUACUGUUAACACUAUUAAGGAAGACAACUUCAAAGUAAAUAAAUUAUCCAUAUGAUCAUGUCUCCAAUAUGAGUACGUUGACGGUUUUCAAGCUUAAUCUGUUCCAAUUAAUUCAGUAUCAUGCUGUAACUAUAUUGCAUUUUCUAAUUCUACAGCCUUCUAGCACGAUUGGUUUGCAACAAAUGAUGGAAUUUGGUUGUUUGGGCCUCAAGUUAAGGCAAUUGGAAAAUUGGUCACUUGAUUGACAUGAUUAUUUUUCGAAAUCUAAAUCAAAAGUUCUGUAGGUAAGAACGGUGCCUUAAUUCCUUCUCAAGGCCUGCGAAAUUCACAAAGAACAAGUUCCCACCUUAAUUUGCCCAACAACUUAAUGUAUGAACCAUUUCGUAGUGGUCCUAACAACCCCCGAGCAAAUACUUCCAUUUAUUUUUGAGGAACUGUACAUGUGUAAUAGCAGAUAUAUGCUUCAUGUAUUAAAAAGAAAAAGAAUACAUGAUGAUAUUCACAAGACAGUAAGAUCGAUCUCCUGCUUCCUUAUUUCCCUGUAUAAUAAGCACACCUUAACCUAUUCAUUGAGAACUUAUAGCUCUGAUGCAGAGCCACCUUCAAGACUACGAGAUUGAUUCAAGGACGAUGAUUCUUUUCCAGUAGAAAAGUAAGACCAUGCUAAGACAGCAGAGCCUAGUGUAAUUGUAGCAGCAAUCGAACCCCAUAUCCAUUUCUUCUGCCUUCUUUUCCUUAUUUGCCUAAGACGCCGUGCUGACUCUACACAAUCCAAACAAAAACAGAAACUGUCAUUUUCCAUGAAACAAACAGUGUCUGCUGGUAGAUCUCCUUCUCAAUCAAUGACAAACAACUUAGCAAUAUAAAAAAGGAUCACUACUUAGCAUUUACCCUGAUAGACAGCGGGUACCAAGAUUAGAUAAUCAGAGAAGCAACCUGAAUUGUUUGUUACUCAGGAUAAUAUAACUACAUCGGUAAGGUCUUCGAUGACACACUAACCUACGAAUUGCCUUAUGAACCAAAUGUACUCCUGAUGUAAGUUAUAUGUUAGAAAGGAAGUCACUAACCUCAAUUUGUUCUUUCAUACAAUUGUGCGAAUCAGAUUACCUGCUUGCAUAAAAUCUAAUUUGACAGAUAUUAAGGACCUAUGCCUUGCAUAUAAAUACCCUCCUUUGACUAACACGAUUAUAGAUAUGAGAAUUACAAUCGAGUCUAUGUUUAUUUUGUUCUUUUAUUUUAAGAAAAAAAAAUAGAAAAUACUGCAUUUAUGAGUGAAAAAAGUUCAUAAUGAAGUUUGGUUGAAGAAUAACAGAUAGCCAAGACAUUGUUCUGGAUGCACUAAAAACGAAACAUAAACAUUUGGAAUGAGCGGGGAAGAUACUUGCAGUUCAGAUUAAACCACUAAUGAUGACUUUCUGAAUCAGUUCAGUUGGAAAAGUAAAACACCAUGUCUCGCUUAUGCAGGACCUAGAUUUCAAAUUUUGUAGUGGAAAAGAAUUAAUUAAUUAGAUUACUGUGUUGGUACCUCUUGUUUCUCCGAGUCAAUGAUGACAACUGAAUUUGCAAAUUAAACAGAAAAUUUUUCCUACAUAAUAGCAGAUCCCAACAUAAAGUUCUUAUUCUUUCACAAAUCUCUGAUAAGGGACGAGGCGGUUGCAUCACGGCUAUGAGCAAUAUACAUUUUAAAAAAGUAAAACUAAGUAUCUUUAAGGAUCUAGUUGCUACCUAUCAGUAUACACCAUCUAUUUUGUGGAAGCUAUAAGUCAAAGAUUGAUAGAGACAGAAGUAUGAACAUAUGAAAGAUCUCCACAAGCAUUUGCCUAAACACUGCUGAGAGAAUAGUCAUACACCUACUUUAAUUGUGCAACAACACAUUGGCUUCAAAUUAUAAGUAGUAACAUGGAACAUAAACUCACCUAUAGCUUCCUGAUUCCUCUGUGACAUUUCUCGGUUCACAGCUUCAUAAUAAUUCAACUUGUCCCAUAGUCGAGCUAUCUCAAAGUUCUUUGACUCAAUUUGAGCCUCAACUUCUGUCUCCAUCUCAGCCUUUGUUAUUCCCCUUCCAAUGGAUUCUGAUACAAAUCGAAUGGUUUGUACUUGUUGACACAAAUCUUCCACCUGAUCAUCUGGCUGUUCAUUGUCCAAUUCCUCUCCAGCAACAAGAUUAGGAGGGAUGUUCAACCCCACGAGAGACAAUCGUUCACGAAUCCUCUGCCAUUGGGUCUGCAUAUUACUUAGAACUUCUUCAACUUGCUUUCGCUUUUCAAUUUCCAUUAAUAAGCUCAAUCUUAUUUCACGUAGCUCAUUUUCAAAAUCAUUUGCAGGUAGCUGUGGCCCAUUCUCUGAAGAUAGUUCUGAAGAGAGGAAACACAUAAGACAACCAAAAAUUAUUAUGCAUGGUCAUGACACACAAUACUCAAGAACUUGCAAUAAGAAAAAGGAAAAGGCACUCGAUGGUAACAAGGUACUUAGAAUACCAAAACUUGCAUGGUUGACUGAAAAAUGUAAAUCCUAAAACUAUGCAUCAGGGAGAAAAGACAAGGAAGCUAAUCUGACACACACACAGGAAAAAGGAAAGGAAGAAAAUAAUGAAGAGAACAUUCAAACUUUUACUAAAAGAGGAACAAAUAAAUACCUCAAGUUCAAUUCAAAUGUAAAUAAAAAGACAUAACCAUGAAAAUUAUCGACUUAUGAAAAGGUAAUCACCUUCCCAAGCAUCAUAAAAUUCUCCCAUCGGGGUCAUGGAACUUAAACUGCGCUGGAGUCCACCAUUAUUCUCACUCUCACCGAAACUCCUGACACUCAGAGACUCCUGUGGGUCAAAGAAAUCAUCAGCUUCACCACCUUUCCGCAAAUUGAAUGCAACAGACUUCAUUGUACCAUUUUGCCCAGCUGAACCAUUAGGCAAAUCUUGGUGAAGAAGCCCCCCUUCACGGAGGCCGGCCACUUCACCACCCUUACCCAGGUUAUCAGUAGGGAAUAACAAAUUAUCCUCUUUCACAUUAUUAGCUGUCUCCCUAGAAACGGAAAGAUCAUCAGCAGAUGUACUGGGGAGCUCCUCCUCCGUGUCUCUUAAAUUCUCAUCUAUUUUCUCUCCGUCUAGAGCGUGUUGUUGAGUGCCAAAAUCAUCUUCGGUGAAACUCUUUGAAAGGCGUGGACCUCGACGCUUGUGAUUGAUUAUGUAGGGCGAUGGAGGAAACGAAGAAGGAGAAUCUGGAUAUGACGAAGGGGAAUCUGGAAGUGGCGCUGGCUUUGGAAUCGUGUAUAGUGCAGGAGAUAUUUGAGUCCAGUGAUCUUUCCUAUCUCCAUUUACGGAGGACUUACCAUUGGUAUCAUCCAUCUUUAUAUUAGACAGGAUAGUUUUCCUUUCUAGUUCUGAACCAGAACCGUUCUUGCUUCUAUUAAAACUUGAAUUAGGAAUGUUGUUCCUCCUCUCAAAUUUUGAUUCGUGAAUGCUCUUGGAAGUUGCCAUGGAUUUCGAGCCCCUCGAUUCUAUUAAUCUAUCCACAGCAACUGCUGUAUAUGUCGGCAUGGCUUACUAUACCAGCGACACCUAUAAGAAAUAAGAGAAAGAAAUACAGCACAAUAACCAAUUAAUCCAUUUUCCAUUAAGAAUACAUAAAAGUACAUCCUGCCAAAUAAUCUGAUCCUGAAGAUGAAUGAUAAGCAGCAUAAAAGAAAGGAACUAAAGGAAAAUGAAGUUGUUCAAAACUUUGAUACUGAAGAACCAGGCAGAGAACAUUCCAUAGAAUUGCAAAGGCGAGUCACAAAAUCUAGAAAUGUUAGUACUUAUUAAUACAAUGUAAUAUCACCAUAGAGUGCAACAUAAACUUUGUGACGAUCAUAGCCUACCUGAUUUUCAUAUUUGUUAAUUAGUAGAGGUUCGUUACCUCAUUAGGAUGAAUAAGGUAAGGCGUAGCCUCCCUUGCUUGGACUCUUCUCUUUGAGGUUCUCUUUUUCAUUUAUUAAUUAAAAAAACUAGCCUAGCGGAUUUGCUUUAAAUAAAAUAUUCAUACUUAAUCCCGAAUCAUGAUUACAUCUUAAUCCACCUAAAUUUUACUAAUCCACUAAAACCAAUAUAGGUUCGUUCAACUUUUAAAUCCACCCAUCAACACCUGGAAGAAGACAUGUAAUUAUAGGUCCAUAAUAAUCAAAUAAAAAUGUGUCAAAGCUUCAACAAACUCAAAUCAUAAGAUGAGAAGGUAACCUGAAAGAAGAAAUUGAGAAUGGCGAUUGUGAAAAGUCAUGAUAUUAUGAUUAAAGGUAGAAGGUGAAGGUGGAGUUUUAGUAUGGAACAAGUUACCAUUGAUGCACGCGACUUGUUCUCUCUCUAGCUCUCACACACCCCUGAGACUCUUGACUCAGACUCAGAAGACCCUGGCCUUUCGGACAAGGCAAAGAGCCCCUCCCCCCCCAAAACAACACCAGUUCCCUAUACCCAAGGUUGAAUUCUUCUUUCUUCCUUCUUUCUCUGUUUGUUUGUUAAUUGACUAGUAUUGUGUGUGUCUUUUCCUUUCUUCCUCCCUCUGCUUCUGCGUGUGUUGUAUGUGUUUGUUUGCCUUCCCGAUUUUUCCUCUCUAUCUUUCUGCGGCUGCUUCUACCCCUCACAGAUUCAAAGGCCACAAUGCAAACAGAUCCUCCCACUUUAUUCUACACGAGCACUAUUAUAAGAUUCUUUUAUUUUGUCCUACCAUCCACACCUCACGUCCCUUUCUGUCUUUUUUUUUUGUAUACUCACUCUCGUGUUUCAAUUUCAUUGAUUACUGAGUUUUAAUAAAUAAAUAGAAUUUUUUAUAUUUUGUGAUUUUAAAUUAGAAACAUGUAUUUGAAAAUUAGAAGAGCAUGAUCCGUGUCCAACAUUAAGAUAUUUAUUUGUCUUUUCAAUCUUGAUAUAUUUAAAAAAAAAAAAAUUAAUAAAAAGAUUGCAUAUGUUUUCUAAGAUUCAUCCGGAAUUUAGCAUGAGUUCAACAUAUGUUAUUUUAAUAUGUAUUUAGAUAAUUUAAGUUGUUAACUAUGGUAAUUUAUAAUAUUUUUAUGUAAUUUUUAAAUUAAUAUACGCUACUUUUCUUGUCCAAAAUUUUGUGACAUUGAUUGUCAAUUAUAUUUUAAAAAUAAUUUAAGUUUUAAAUUAUGGUGAUUUAUAAUACUUUUCUUCUAUUCUAAUUCAAGUGACACUAAUAUAAUUUCAAGAGUCGACCAAAUAUUUUAUAUCUUUUAAAUUUUUUAAGUUGUUAAUUAUUGUGAUUUCUAGUAUUUUUCAUGUAAUUUUUUUGAAAUAUAUAACAUAUUAAAUUGUUUUUAGAUAUUUUAAAUUGUUAACAAUUGUAAUUUAUAAUACUUUUUAUGUAAUUUUUGAAUAAUAUAUGCUACUCUCCUUGUCCUGAAUUUUGUGUCGAUGACAGCCAAUUAUAUUUUAAAAAUAAUUAUAUUUUUUAAAUAAUUUAAAUUUUUUAUCAUUGUGAUUUAUAAUAUUUUUUCUAUUUCAACUUAUGUGGCACAAUGCUUAAAUGACCAUAAUAAUUAAUUAGGAGUGAUAUAGUAAAUUUACAACUGAAUCAACGAAGCAUAAAUGUCGUAAAUGACUUACAACAACUAAUUAGAAGUGACAUAGCGAAAUUACUAUAAAAAAUGCUUGUGAAAAACUUAAAUGGACCUCAUAUAAGACGUCAAGUUAAUUUAAAACAUCAACAGUUAAUUUAUCAUUUUUAUAUCUAUUUUAUUUCUAUUAAAUAUUAUUAAUUUUUUAAUACUUAAAUAACUUAUAAUAAUUAAUUAAGGGUAAUAUGUAGUAAAACUAUGGUUGAAACAGAUAAAGCAGACAUAUCAUAAACGUCUCUUUUAUUUUUUUUAUUAAAUAUUAUGAAUUUUUUUAAUACAUAAAUGACUUAUAAUAAUUGAUUAGGAGUGAUAUAAUAAAAUUACAAUUGAAGCAACUUAAUCAGACAUGUCAUAAAUAUUUAUUUUAUAUUUUUAAUUAAAUAUUAAUUAUUUUUAAUACAUGAAUAACUUAUAAUAAUUAAUUGUAGGUAAUAUAGUAAAAUCAUGGAUUCAAUAUCAUUAAUUUUUCAAUACAUAAGUGACUUAUAAUAAUUAAUUACGGGUGAUACAUUAAAAUCACGAUUGAAGCAGCUGAAGCAGAAAUCAAUCAAUUUUUUUCUGUUAAUUAUUGUCAUUUACAGUACUUUUUAUUUCAUUUUCAAAUAAUAUAUGUUGCAUAUGUGACACUAAUAUAAUUUUGAUAGUCAAUCAAAUAUUUUAUGUUGACAUAUCAUUUUGUUAUUCUUAUUUUGCUAAUACAUAAAUGACUUAUAAUAAUGAGUAAUAUAGUAAAAUCAUCGUUCGAAAGACGAAAAUUUAAUUUAAAACAUUUAGAGUUAAUUUCGCAUUUUAUGUCUAUUUUAUUUUUCAUUAAAUAUUAUUUAUUUUCUUAAUACNNNNNNNNNNNNNNNNNNNNNNNNNNNNNNNNNNNNNNNNNNNNNNNNNNNNNNNNNNNNNNNNNNNNNNNNNNNNNNNNNNNNNNNNNNNNNNNNNNNNNNNNNNNNNNNNNNNNNNNNNNNNNNNNNNNNNNNNNNNNNNNNNNNNNNNNNNNNNNNNNNNNNNNNNNNNNNNNNNNNNNNNNNNNNNNNNNNNNNNNNNNNNNNNNNNNNNNNNNNNNNNNNNNNNNNNNNNNNNNNNNNNNNNNNNNNNNNNNNNNNNNNNNNNNNNNNNNNNNNNNNNNNNNNNNNNNNNNNNNNNNNNNNNNNNNNNNNNNNNNNNNNNNNNNNNNNNNNNNNNNNNNNNNAAAAAAAUAAUUUUAAAAUUUAAAUUUACUAAAAUAAAUAAAUAAAUAAAAAUAUUAAUUUUCUAUAUAAAAGUUAAUUAAAAUAAUAAAAUUGAUUUAUUUUAAAUAUUUAUUUGCAAUUAAUUAAGAUAAUUUUUUAUUUUGUCAUGAUUUAUGCUGCACCGAUAAAAUUUUGAGAGUUGAAUAUAAAUUUUAUCUAUUUUUUAAAAAAGUAUUUUAACUUGUUAAUUAUUGUGAUUUAUAAUAAUUUUUACGUAAUUAUCAAAUAAUAUAUUUACUCCUUGUGUCCCAAUUUAUGUGGCUUCGAUACAAUUUUGAGAGUCAACUAAAAAUUUAUAUAUCUUUUGAAUAUUUUAAGUUGUUAAUUAUUAUGAUUUGCAAUACUUUUUCUUUUAUCUCAAUUUAUGUGGCAUUGCUAAAAUAAUGAGAGCCAAUAAAAUUUUGAUAUGUAUUUUAAAUAUUUUAUGUUAUUAAUUAUUGUGAUUUAUGGUAACAAUUAGUUUUGAACAUGAUAGCCAAUUUUAAAUAAAAAAAAAUUACUUCCAAUAUGUAGUUAUAGUUAAUUAAUAUAAAUUAAUAGAAUAUAUUAAAUAUUUAAACCAUUAUGAUAAAAUAAUGAAAUUAUUAUAUAUUGGGGUAUGAUAUAUAAUUAAGUGGGAUUGGAGGGUUUUUUUGAUAAUUGCAGGAGAGGUGGUCGAAACCACCUCUUCUACAUAAUAGAAAUGUCACGUAAAAUAUAGAUAUUAUUGUAAAUAAGUUAUUGGUGGAUGUUCACAUACACACAUAUUACACAUACUAUUGUAGCAUGUAAAGAAGUCAUUUCUUUUGUGAAUAUAUUUUCACAUACUACACAUAUUACACAUACUCUUGCCUAUAAAAGGCAUUUUAUGCUACAUUGUAACACACACCAAAGUAGAAGAAAAUAAAAUCUUCUCUUAUAUCUAUAGGUCUCUCUCCCCUACCCUUUUAUUUUAGUAUAUUGCAGAAUAUUUAUUUACAACACGUUAUCAGCAUGACUCUACUCUUUUUAAGUUUUCAAUCCAUCAGGUAUAAUCAACUUACUUAUCUUGAAUAUUGUAAUUUGUUAUUUUUCUUUUAUCAAAAUUUUGUUUUAAACGUUAAAGUUACACAUGGAAAAAAAAUUAUGUUAUUGUAUUGUUGUCUAACUUCAUUAUUUUUAUUAUAGUUUUCAUCAUGUCAAACUUGUCGAAACUUGAGUUUGUGGCACUUGACAUCUCUGAAAAAAUUACUUGUCACGGGUUCUCAACACUGAGAUUCACCUAGCUGCUAAGGAUCUUAGUGCUACUAUUAUCCCGGAUAAUGCAGCGUCGAGUCAAGACAAGGUCAAGGCUAUGAUUUUCCUUCGUCAUCAUCUGGAUGAAGGACUGAAGGUUGAAUACCUUACUAUGAAAGAUUCACUUGAAUUGUGGACUGAUUUGAAGGGAAGAUAUGACCACCUAAAGGUCACGGUACUGCCUAGAGCUUCGUUAUGAGUGGAUGCACUUACGGUUUCAAGACUUUAAAAUCAUUGUUAAAUAUAAUUCUAUUGUAUUCAAGAUUGCUUCCUAAUUGAAAUUAUGUGGGGAAACUAUAAAUGAUGAAGACAUGAUGGAAAAAACACUAACUAUUUUUGAUUCCUCAAAUGUGAUAGUGCAACAACAAUAUCGUGAAAAGGGCUUUCAGAAGUAUUCUGAAUUGAUCUCAUGCCUUCUAGUGGCUGAGGAAUAUAAUGCCCUUUUGAUGAAAAAUCAUGAAGCCCGUCCUAUUGGAACUGCUCCACUACCAGAAGCAAAUGGGGUACAAGCACAUGGACAGCCUGAAAGACAGCAAAAUCGAGGUCAUAAUAAUAUGCGUGGACGUGGCAAUGGCAGGGGACGAUAUAAUAAUCGUCAUGGUGAUGGGAACCAAAGAAGGGAGAAUCAAAUGGGUCCCCAAAACAAUCCUUUAAUAGGUAAUUGUCAUCGUUGUAGCAUGAAAGGCCACUUGAAGAAUGAAUGUCGGGCGCCUAAGCAUUUUGUUAGGCUUUAUCAAGAAUCUUGCAAAAGAAAGAGAAAUGAAGGUGGGAUCUCUUCAAAUGCCCGAAUGGAGUUACAUUUGACUUUCAAAAAUGAUGAUAGGCAGGACCUUCACAAAAAUAUGAUUACAAUGUUGAGGCAAACUUGGUAUUGAAAGAUGAUGACUUUGAUGGCCUUGAUGAUAUAAUUCAUUUGGACGCUGAAGAUUUCUUUGGAGACCAAAACUAAAUCUUGAUCAAGUUAUUGGGGAAAUAAAUAAUAUUCUUUUAUUAUGUUGUUUUUAGCAUAUUUUUUCAUUAUGUUGUUUUUACAUUUCAAGAGAAAAUAAUAAGUAUUUAAGUUUUAUUGUAAGAUUGUGAGAUUUCACUUUUUUUAUCAUGUAUUUUUAUUUUGUGAAGAUAAUAAAAAAUUUUCAAUCUUCAACUGGAUCCAAGAUGAGUAAUGGAGAUGUAUCUUUUCUUGAUAGUGCUACAACUCACACUAUAUUAAGAGAAAAGAAAUAUUUCUCUAAUUUGAUUAUGAAAAUGGCCUAUGUUAAUACAAUAUCCGGUAGUACAAAGUUAAUUGAAGGCUCUGAAAGAGCGACCUUAUUACUACCGGGGGGAACAAUAACUACUAAAAAAAUUGCGUUUAGCAAGAGACCGAUAACGUUGCUAAUCAACAUAAAUCCGUCGCUAAAGCCAUUUAGAGACGGAUCAGCGACGGAAUACUAGUCGUUGCUAUAUUGCGCGUUGCUAACCAUUUAGCAAUAGAAAAAAUAAAAUUUGUUGCUAGAUUUGCAAGGAAAUAGAGACGCCCUAUAUCCGUUGCUAUUUUUUAGCAACGAAUGUAUUCGUUGUUAUAUUUAUAAAUGUCGUUACUAAUUUCAUGUUGUUUUUCGUCGUUUGAUUAUUUCAUGAUCAAAUAUUUCAUUGCCAGUCUGUUGCUAAAAAUUCUCAAUUUUUGUGACAAAAAAAUAUUUUUCUCAAUACGUUGCAAAUAUUUUUCUUUGGAAAUGAUUAAAUUUGUUGAUAAUUCUAUCGUCAUUACUUUUCUUCCAAUAUCUUUUUUAUUUGUAUUUUACAUACACCAUGUUGAAUCAUAUUAAAAACAUAUUAUAAAAUUCUUAAAAUAUCCAACAUUCAUACAAAAGAAUCCAUAUAUAUAGAUAGCAAAGUCUUCUUAAAAUAUCCAACAUUCAUAUAAAAGAACCCACAUAUAUAGAUAGCAAAAUCUAAAUAUCCACAAUACCAAAUAUAGAACCAUCUAAACAUAUAAUUAUGUCCAUCUUCAGCUAGACCAGGUACAACAGUUGAGAGUGGUUGUGGUUUUCAUUGGGGGUAUUCGUGCCAGUAAACUAAUUUUCUCACCCCAGGCCAGAGUUGUUCAUUAGGAGUAUCUAGCAACCUGCACUGCAAUUCUGUUAAGGUUAGAAUGUAGAAACCAAGUUGGAUAAUAGCAAUCUUGCUAUUGCACAACAACUCAUUGCAACAAAGAACAUGACAGAAGUAGAAAUUAGCAGAAACACUUCCCUUUUUGUUCAAAUCAGAAAUAUUUUGGACCGUCAAUUAUUGUGACAUCAUUUUUAUGGACGGACUUUCUAUAGAACCCGUUUUAUUAACAUGAUUUAUCACUACUUUAGCAACUUUGGCGACUUGGCCUAUGAAUCAACUAAGAUGAUCAAGAAAUCUUAAACUGUAAAUAUUUAGUAGCUUGCUGUUCAAAUAUAUUUUAGCUAGUUUACCACAUCUUUUGAUCAUAAAUCAUUUUUUGGAUUCAACAUAUUGCCAAGCAUAAAAGACUUACUAAUUCAACUUUGCGAGAAACUCCUCAUGCAAUUGUUAAAAAACAGAGGUGUCUACUUGACUAAGAGAAGAGGGCAUUAGACUGAUGCCUCCUGAGACCGAAGCAUUAAUAACCGUGUCCAUAUUUGGUACACUAGCAUCAGACAGUGGCUCACUUUUCAUAUCAGCAAAAAGUUUGUUAGGAUAAGAGACCACCUGAAUUUCUUCUUCAUUAAACUAAUGCUCCUAUUAUAGCCAUCAGAAAUCAACAUCAUCAACAAGAUAACCAUCACCACCAAUAUUAAACUAGGCCAAUUCAUUGACCACUAGGCCACACCCUUGGCUGCGGACUUAGAACUCUUUAAAAAGGUGUAUCAAGCAAUUACUCACGUGUGAAGUAGUAAAGAGCUGUGAAGCGAUUCUCUCAAACACAUCAAUGUUGUUUGUAGCCAUCGGCACCUACAAGUAGAACAAUAAAAUUAAAACCAGGAAGGAAAACAGAAAUUUCUUCAGUUAAAAAACAUAGAGCACAAGGUUAUCACCGAAAAUACUAUACCAAAAAUACUAUACCCUCCAUGCCCAUACGUUACUCCAGUUGUUAACCGAUAGGCCACCCACUGGCUUGGGAGAAACUCUGCUCACAAACUCUUACAUAUAUAAAACCACACCCCUUAAUACAAUUUGCAGUAACUUCCUGGUAGUAACAAACAUAAAAUGAAAAAGAAGAUCUCUGCAGCAAGAGAUUCAAUGAUUCAUGACGUCUUCUUGAAGGAAAAAAUGCAAAAUAGUGUUUGUUGUAUACAAACUAUAAAUAAAUAGAAAAUCAAAAUUGUGAGGGCAAUCAUGAACAUAUUGCAGAAAUAAAUAAAUAAUAAACAAUGAAAACCUUGGAGAUCAUACGCAGCUGCCCACAAGUUGUUCUUUGCCUCCUAUUCAACUUUUCUUCUAAGACGUGACCAAUUUCCGGAACUGCUUUUACUUGAAGUUCUUGUAUUUCAAUGAUACCAAGAAGGCAAAAAAAUACAACAAAAGGCACAAGUUGAAAAUUGUACUGGCUCGCUAUUGGUAAUGGAACAAUAUUCAUUUUUGUUACUCCUAUAACCUCAGGAUCACCAACAAAUAACAUAUAUAUUCAGCUUCUAAUAGACAAUUAGCCUAGUACAUUAAUGCAGAAGGCACAUAUGGAGAAUUCUAAAAGAAACACUUCUUUUGUUGAUGAAGAAAGGAAACAUUUAUUUUCAUAGUUACCAUGAAAUAUAAAACAAUUGAGUUGAUAUCAAGUUAAAACGUAAACCAAGACUAUUCCUAAGAGAGAAUUGUAUUUCAAAUGACUUAACAUAACUGUAUACGUUCAGAAAAAAUAUACUAAAUGCACUUUUGGCUAGAACCUGAAAUUAGAAUUUGACGGGGUGAGCUUAAAGCUUGAGAAGGCGCUCUCUCACUCCCAAUUACCUUACCUUCAAGAGUGGACGAUAUAACUUACAAGAGUUAAUGGAUGAAUAAAGAGUGGAAAGUUACAUGAAUUUCAAGGAAAAGAUGAUCAAAUUCAGCAAUAAAAAAACCAUGAGACAAAUGCACCUAAUGCCAAACAUCUACUGCAAUAUCAUGUCAAACUGUUAUUACAUUCUACCCAUCAAAUCCUAAGGGAUAUUAUGAGAAUCUGAAGUGCAUGCAAAAUCAAAUGAAAUUCAGGUACUGAAGAAAGAACUAAAAACAACAACAUUAAAAAAUAGCGAGUUGAGGACGAGAGCUAAGCAGGCGAUAAACAAAACUGAGGCAGCUGAAAAGAGUAAAGUUGCACUUCAGAAUUAGAUAAAGAGGUGGAAGGAACAUAAAAAGAGAGAAAGUUGCAUUGGCUGCACUUAGAGAAGAGACCAUUUCCAGAGAAAUUACUGAAUACAAACCUGAUAAUUCUCCCAAAAUAAAACAACCUCUUGGUAAGAUUCUCAGGAUUGGAACUACCACAACCACUUCACUGCUAAAGCAACACAAUAGAUGCCAAUGAAAACACAAAUUUAAAAAAUUAAACUAGUGUACAAUUUGAAAUAUGAUUGGCUAUAUUUGAUAAAUAGUUAUUUCUAUUAAUACCUAGAAAGCACUGGUUAGAAUAUUUAAUAGGUUGAUAAGAUGAACCAACAAAGCAACUUAUUGACGACAAACAAACCAGUAAAAGACAAGCAAUAUAAACACAAGAGGAGAUCACAAUGAUUUUUGAAUUGAGUGAAUAGUGUCAGAUAAGCUUACGAUCAGGAUCAAUGAAGUAAUUUAACUUGAUCAUACAAAGUGGUAAAAAGUGUUUGAACUAGUUUUGAACACGUAGUUGCCUAAAUAAAAUCUGGCGAAGUUUGGGUCGGGAGCACAAUCUAGUGCAACUACAUAGUGUCUAUUUAGCUAUUCUGAUUUUUUAAAAUUUAAAAAGGUAGAAUUGUUUUAUCUAGAAGAAUAAAAAUGCAAAACCUUUUCCAAAUAAUGUUCAUAAGAAAACCAUUGCUUAAAUAAAAAUAUAAAAUGGUUCAUUGUCUAACUUUUUAGCAAUUCUGGCAAGGGCAAAUUUAGUCAAUGCUCGUUCUAUCUCUUCUCUAACAACUCUCCAAAAAAUCGGUUCUAAGCAUGUGUAGAGAGGAAAUCUUAGUGAGCAUCUAAAUACAAUAACAACAACAAACCCAAUGUAUUCCCACAUAGUGGGGUUUGGAGAAGGUAAAAUAUACUCAGUCCAUCCCACUACCUCCGAAGAAGUAGAGAGGCCGUUUCCGAUAGACCCCCGGCUAAAGAUCAAAAUCAUAUUUAUAUAAACACACACACGCCUUAUAUAAUAACUUAUAUUAUUGGUGCACAAAAGUUCUCAUGAAACUUAGUUUUUAGGAAAUUAUCAAAUAAAAUGGACAAAGCUCCAGGUAGACUCCACAACAUGAUGAAGAUAUUAGAUCAACACAUAUACAACCUGAAUUUACAAGAUGAAAAUUGCCUUAAAUCUAAAGCUAAGAGUAUUUAUUAAAUCAUCUAAAAUCAAGUGAUUUCAAACCUGAAGCAGGUAAACUUGUUGAUCAGUUGGCUUUGAGGCUUUUCUCCAUGUUCCUGCUACUACUUCUCUAUCUUUAAGAUUCACUCUGAGCAUAGGACAAGACAUCCCUUAUAAUUGCUACUUCACUGACUCAUGCAUUAGUUUAAAGAAUUUAUCCAGCCCAGCCCCAAAACUCUGUAGGAAUCAGGACAACUGAUACUAACAGUACUCCAUCUUCAAAAGUGCGCCGAUAUUUCUACUUAGGUUUCAUGUGCCAGCUUACUUCCAGACAGCCACAUCAACAAUCACAGCCAACCAGACCAACCUGAAUGAGCAUCUAAAUGAAAACAAAAAAAAUAGAUUUUAUUUUCUGGUCUAUUAAUCUUAAUUUAUGCAGCACAUAAUCUACAAGUGGGGAAUGGGGAGGGUAGGACCCAAAAGGCUAACUAAAUGUUGAUGGCGAAACUUUGAAAGCAAAUUCAUUUGAAGUUUCAACCAGUGCAUCGUCUAUAAAUAGCCAAUUCCCUUACAACAACAUAAGUUUCAUUCUCUAAUUUUCCCUUGUAAAUUUGAUAUGGAAAGAUAUGUCAUACAAGUUGUUAGCUAAACCAAAUAGUCUAACUUUGAGCCCAAAAAAGAAUAAAGUUUGGGAUAGAAGGCUUGAAAAGAUGUCAACUCACUGCAUAUGCACUUUAAGUAAGCGAUUUAAGUGUCUCGCUUUAGUGAUAUUAAUUGUCAAAGUUCAAUAGAUAACAAAUCAAAAUAUGAAUUACUCCUAAUUGUAAUCAGCAUUAUAUGGUAUCAAAAUGCAAAGUCGAGAUGCAUAUAGCAUUUAUGCACAUAGACAAUACAUAAUAAAGGCAAAAAAAAUUAUUUAAUCAACUGCUUAUCUUGGUGAGUUGUGCAUCUAUUUAAUUGUCUGAUUUGAGUUAUUCAAUGAAAACUACCUGAAAAACUAAUUUGAUUGUGUUAAUUACUCACGGAGAUCAAGACCUCUAGAAAUACUAUGGCACCGCGUGGAUGAUAACAAAAUUAGCAACAAAAAGUUUAUCCUCUGAUAAAAUAUAACAUGAAUUUUGAAUAGAUAUAUGCAAGGAAACAAUAUACUAAGCCCUCUUCCUAAAUUAAUUUGGGAGUACAAACAGUUUCAGAGCAAUACUUUUCCAAUGGAGCCUUCACCGAGCAAUGUUGAUUUAUCAAAUUUUUCUAUCACUUCUUCCAACUCUUCCAUGGAGAACACCCGAUAUGAUGGAGCACCUUGAGAUCUAAGUGCUGAUUCUUGAGAAAUGAUUCUUGAGAUAAAAUAAGUUAAAGAAACUCUAAUCAAAUUUGCUGAAAACUUAAGUAAUUGUCUUAGAAACUUUUUUGCAGAAAAUCUGCCUAUUUAGAGUUGACAUUGAAAAUGAAGUUAAACUACAACUUACUAGCAUUUUCCAGGAGCUCAUCAGAAAUAUUGGGUUGUACAUUAUCUUGCACAACUUUGGGAAACAUGUACCAAUCCACAUUGUGACGCAUAUGUAUGCUGUGAUCUUCUAUAAAAGAAGAGAAGGACAACUGUCAAAAACACCACAAGUAGUACAGCUCCCCCAACAACACCUACCAUUUCAAGUUAAAAAAAACCACAAACAGAAAUUCUGAGAAAAAAUCCAAUUUCCAUUUCAAGUAAAUAACCAUUUAUCAAACGUUUUAACACAAUAAUCGAACAACCCUAAGUGAAAGAGCUCAAACAACCCUAAAGGUAUCAUUUACAAGUGAAAUCUAACAUAGAAAUUAAGAAAUUGAAAGAGUAAAAAAUAACUCACAUUACGAGAUUUAGAAUCGUACCUCUAACUUAGAUUCAAAAUUGAGUGAUUAAUUCUUUUUUCGAUUGAUAUUGAGCGAUUUUCUUUUCUCAAUUGAGAAACAGUGGAGAAAAAAGGAAAAGGAGAGGUUGUUUUUGGAGAGAGGCGAAGGAUACAAUGUGUUGGGAACAAAGUGAAAUAAAAAAUUUUGCCCUAAUAUUUAUUUGGUAGGGUGACGGAUUGAGCAACGGUUGCAAAAUUCGUUGCUAAUUAUUUAAAAAAAAUAAUAUAUUUUUUAAAAAUGGUAAAAUAAUUCUAGUGACAAAAAUUUUAUUGCUAUUUCCGUCUCCACCAUGUCAAAAAAUUCCCCUCCCCGCCCAUUUUAUGUCACUAAUUUUAUCAAUAAAAUAAAGGCGUCAAUAUUUACCUCCAAAAUAUAGCAACAGAUUAUACUUUUUGUCACUAAUGUAUCAUUAAUUAGGCUACUACUUUUAUUUUCAAUUAUUUAGCGACAAAAAACCUAUUUUGUUGCAAUUCCGUCGUUAAUUAGCGACGAAAAAGUGCUUGUUGCUACAAAUCCGUUGUUAAACUCGAUUUUUUUUGUAGUGAAUAUUGACCAUUGAUAAUGCAUUAUAUUGUAGUAAUUCUCAAAGAAACUUGUUAAGUUUCAAAGUUAUUCGCCAAAAUGGCUAUCACAUUGAGAUUGCAAAUGAAGAAAAGAUUGAAAAUCUUUAUAUUACUAUAAUAAAAGGUGGAGAAAAAUUUGUGCAUGAAAAAACACCUGCACUUUCUUCUGGAUUGUAUCAUACAAGUAUUUGUAUAGUUGAAUCACAUACCAUAGUAAAUAAAAGAUUUAUAGAUCGUAAUGAUUUUAUCAUUUGGCAUGACCGGUUGGGCCAACCCAAUAUUAAUAUGAUGCGCAGAAUUAUUGAGAAUUCACAUGGAUAUACAUUGAAGAAUCAAAAUAUUCUUCAAUCAAAUGAAUACUCUUGUACUGCUUGUUCUCAAGGAAAGUUGAUGAUUAAACUAUCAGUAGCUAAGGUUGGGAUUGAAUCUCCUGCAUUUCUAUAACGUAUACAGGGUGAUAUAUGUGGACCAAUUCACCCUUUGUAUGGACCUUUCAAAUAUCAUAUGCUUUUGAUAGAUGCAUCUACAAGAUGGUCACAUGUGCGCUUAUUAUCAACUCGCAAUAUGAAUUUUGCGAGAUUGUUAGCUCAAAUAAUAAGAUUAAGCGCACAAUUUUCAAAUUAUGCAAUAAAGACUAUUCGUCUUGAUAAUGCUGCUGAGUUGACAUCUUAGUCCUUUAAUGAUUAUUGUAUGUCAACUGAAAUAAUUGAAUAUUCGGUUGCUCAUGCUCACACUCAAAAUGGUCUAGCAGAAUCAUUGAUCAAACGUCUUCAAUUGAUAGCUAGGCUAAUGUUAAUAAGGACAAAACUUCAUGUUUCAACAUGGGGACAUGCUAUUUUGCAUGCAGCAACACUUGUGUGCAUAAGGCUAAUGAGUUAUCAUAAAUUCUCCCCAUUACAGUUGGUUUUUGGUCAAGAACCAAAUAUUUCCCAUCUUAGAAUUUUUGAAUGUGCGGUAUAUAUUUCAAUUGCUCCACCACAACGCACAAAGAUAGGACCCCAAAGAAGGUUGAGAAUAUAUGUUGAGUAUGGAUCUCCUUCCAUUAUAAAAUAUUUGGAACCUAUGACCGGAGAUUUAUUUACGGCAAGAUUUGUUGAUUGUCAUUUUGAUGAAUCAGUAAACCCAAUAUUAGGGGGGAAACAUAAGUAGCUGAAACAUGAGAUUGAUUGAAAUGCAUUAUCACUAUCUCAUUUGGAUCCUCAAACAAAUCAAUGUGAGCGAGAGGUUCAAAAGAUGAUUUACUUGCAAAAUGUUGCAAAUCAGCUACCGGAUGCAUUUACUAACCUUCCAAGGAUUACUAAAUCUUAUAUUCCAGCUUCAAAUGCUACAGUUCGAGUUGAUAUCCCGAUAGGACAAGUGGUCAAUGCAAAUGAGUCUAAACCACGUUUGAAAUGCGGUAGACCGAUUGAUUUCAAAGAUAAAAAUCCUCGAAAAAGAACAGAAAUAAAUGAUUAAAAUGAUCACGAUAUGAUGACAGUUGCUCAAAAAGAGCCUCAAUAUCUAACAAAUGAUAAGACCAUUGAGGAGGUUAAAAUACCUGAAAGUAAUGAGAAUAAAAAAAUCUCAAUAAGUUAUGUCUCGACGAGAAAUAGGUGGAAUCGAAAUAAUAUUGUGGUUGACAAUAUUUUUGCUUACAAUGUUGCUAUUGAAAUAAUACAACAAGAUGAGGAUUUGGAAUCAAAAUCUAUCAAUGAAUGUAGACAGAGAAAUGAUUGGACAAAAUAGAAGGAUAAAAUUCAAGCGGAAUUGACUUCACUUGAAAAACAUGAAGUUUUUGAACCUAUAGUUCGAACACCUGAAGGUGUCAAAGCCAGUGGAGUACAAAUGAAUUUUUGUGCGAAAGCGAAAUGAAAAGGAUAAAGUCGUAAGAUAUAAAGCAUGACUUAUGACACAAGGUUUCACAAAGGCCUGACAUUGACUAUGCGGAGACAUAUUCUCCUGUGGUAGAUGGAAUUACCUUCACAUAUAUAAUAAAUCUGGCAGUUCAUGAAAAGCUUGAUAUGCGUCUAAUGGAUGUUGUCACGACCUAUUUGUGUGGCUCAUUGGACAGCGAUAUUUUUAUGAAAACUCCAGAGGCCUUCAAAGUACCUAAAACAUAUAAAAAUUCUCAAGAAACUUGCUCAAUAAAGCUUCAAAAAUUCUUAUAUGGAUUGAAACAAUCAGGGCGGAUGUGGUAUAAUCUGUCUUAGCGAAUUUUUGCUAAAAGAAGGGUAUAAAAAUGAUCCUAUUUGCCCUUGUGUUUUUAUAAGAAGGUUUGGAUCUGAAUUUGCUAUAAUAGUUGUUUAUGUUGAUGACUUGAAUAUCAUUGGCACUCUCAAAGAGCUUUCAAAAGUUGUUGAGUGUUUGAAGAAAGAAUUUGAAAUGAAAGAUUCGGGAAAGACAAAAUUUUAUCUCGGCUUGCAGAUUGAUCAUUUGACAAAUGAAUUUUUUGUCCAUCAAUCAACAUACAUUGAAAAGAUUUUAAAGCGAUUUUACAUGGAUAAAUCACAUCCAUUGAGUACUCCAAUGGUUGUGAGAUAGCUUGAAAUAAACAAAAAUCCAUUUCGACCUCAAGAAAAUGAUGAAAAACUUCUUGGUGAUGAAACUUCAUAUCUUAGUAAAAUCGGGGCACUAAUGUAUCUUGCCAAUAAUACUCGACCAGAUAUUUAUUUUGCGGUAAAUUUAUUGGCAAGACUCAUCUCUUCCCCAACUAAAAGACAUUGGAAUGGUGUCAAACAUAUACUCAGAUAUCUUCGGGGAACCAUUGACUUGAGAUUAUUUUAUUCAAAUGAAUCCAAGUCAGAAAUGAUUGGUUACGUAGAUACAGGAUACUUAUCUGAUCCACAUAAGGCUCGGUCUCAGACGGGUUAUUUAUUUACAUAUGGUGGCACAGCUAUAUCAUGGCGUUCAAUGAAGCAAAUAUUAGCUGCAACUUCUUCAAAUCAUGCAGAAAUCAUUGUCAUUGAUGAAGUGAGUCGGGAGUGUGUUUGGUUGAGAUCAAUGACUCAAAAAAUUCAAAUAAUGUGCGAAUUUUCUUUGAAUAAGGAUAUUCCAACUACAUUGUAUGAUGAUAAUGUUGCAUGUAUAGCUCAGUUGAAGGGAGGUUACAUUAAAUGAGACAGAACAAAACACAUUUCACCAAAAAAAAAAAUCACUCAUGAUCUUGAGAAGAAAGGUGAAAUAGAUGUUCAAAUUCGUUCAAGCGAUAAUCUAGUAGAUAUGUUCACUAAAGCAUUGCCAACAUCAACCUUUGAGAAGUUGAAAUACAAGAUUAAGAUGCGUCGUCUCCUAGAUAUUAAGUGAUGUUUUUAUCAGGGGGAAUACAUACGCGCUGCACCUUUUUUUCCUUAACCAAGAUUUUAUUCCACUGAGUUUUCCUGAUAAGGUUUUUAAUGAGGCAGCAAACAAAGCGUAUUACAAACCACUAUUACAUCUUAUUUCCUUUAGAAUUUCUCUUUUACAUGAACAUCCAAGGGGAAGUAUUGUAAAUAAGUUAUUGGUGGAUGUUCACAUACUAUACAUGCUUCACAUACUACACAUAUUACACAUACUAUUGUAGCAUGUAAAGAAGCCAUUUCUUUUGUGAAUGUAUUUUCACAUACUAAAUAUAUUACACAUACUCUUGCCUAUAAAAGGUAUUGUAUGCUACAUUGUAACACACAUCAAAGUAGUAGAAAAUAAAAUUCUCUCAUAUCAAUAGGUCUCUCUCCCCUCUCCUUUUGUUUUGGUAUAUUUUAGAAUAUUUAUUUACAAAAAAUAUUCUAACCUUUCAUACUUGAAUUGGGACAGAGUAUGUAUAUGGUUAACACGCGAUACAAAAUUUUCUAUUUUUGACGCUACAAUUAGAUUACAUUUUACGGGUAAAUAAAUGGGAACCACGUAUCUUUUUGGCUUUAGCUUCUGAAAAUUAUAAAAUUGCGUGAUGGCAAUUUAAAUUUUAAAUUGACCAAUUAUGUGUGGUAUAACUUAAAAUAUUUUGAAUGUCCGCUUAUUCUUGAUUGAAGGACAAUAACGGGUGGUUUGUUACCCCCAAAUAAGAUAAGUAGAGAGAUUUUAUAAGAUUAUUUUAUUCACUUUCUAUAAUUCUACUAUCUUAGUACAAAUUGUGAAAUAAAACUUUCUUGAAAGAGUUCAUGCCUCACAUCAAACAAAUAAAAUUUUAUCGUCAGAUAAUUAUUUAUAUUCUACUUAUCACACGAACCAUUGGAUUAUAUUUGGCUAACUAGGCAAAGUUCGUUGAAUUGCAAAAUUUGACACUCCUUCUCUUUGACGUAUGACAACGAUUGGAACACUUUUCAUUAGGAGUUCCCUUCAUUUUAUUCUGUCUUAAUCUUAAACUAAAAAUGAGAAAAAUCAUGUGAAAGGCCAAAAUGAAUUUUGUUUCUUAAUUGAUGCGUUGGAAAGUUCAAGGGGACGCUAGAAGGACCAUAUAUUUCCACCCAAAUUGAAGGAAUUUCUGCCAAGUGUGUCACCACAAGGACCUUUUCUUAUCUUUUUCUUAGUCAAUUGAAGGGGUAGAAAGCUCAAAAAAUCUUGCCCACAUAGGACCGUUAGCCAAAAAAGCAAGCUAAUUUAGGGAAUUUAGGGAUGUGUAAAAAUCAAAUCGAUCAAUAAAUUAAAUUAAUAAAAAUCUUAUUAAUUUAUUAUUAUUGGAUUAUUGAAUUAACAGUUUUUUAAAUAGGUUUAUAAAAAAAUUAUUGAAUUAUUGGUUCGGUUUGAUUUUUUCUUACUGGGUUAUUAAAUAAAUCAAUAAUCCAAUAAGACUAUACUAUAUUAUUAUUUUACACCUAUAUAUUUUUUUUUUCUUUGAAUUUCUCCUAACUAAUAUUUAAUUCAAACUUGACGAUUCUUGUAAAUUAAAACAAAUUACGUAGGAUUUUGAUUGUUACUAAUAUUCGAGUUUUUUUCAUGUUAAUUACUAUUUUUUCUAUUUUAUGAGUUAAAUCAAAAAUUAAAUUAUUAAGGAUUAACAAUCGAUAAAUUAAAAGCUGAUAAAAAUAUUUUAUUGAUUUAACAAUUUUAAAAUUAAAAAUCGAUAAAUCAAAUCUAUAAUAGAUAAAAUCAAAUUGAAUCACGUGCAAAUGCGACCUUUAAGGAGUGGACCGGCAGUUAUAAUUGGCGGCUCUAGCUUGUCUUUUCUUAAUUAUGCAUUAGUUUUGACAUUUUGAUUAUUAGAUUGUUUUUACAAUGUUUUUACUUUUCAAUAUCAUGUGGGAUGACAAAUACAAUAUAACCCGAAAAAAGAAAAAAAAGAAAGGGCCAGUGGUCAGAAAUACAAAGCCUGAUAACUUGGUACACGUCUAGAUCACUAUUGCAUAUUCACUAUAAUAUUAAAUAAAUAUUUCUUUUACUUAUCAUUAUAUUAAAAAAAAAUAGUAUUCAUUUUUAUUAUUUAAUUUUAAAAAUUUAAAAAUAAUUUAUUUUUUAUUUAUCAACUAUGGUCAUUGCCCAAUAUAUUUUCAAAGCAUUCAAUUAAAUAUAUUUUAAAAUAAUAUAAUAAAUAAAUUAUUUUAUUAAUUAUUUUUUAAGAAAUAUAUUAAAUCAAACAUAAACAAAUAAAAAUAGAACUUACUAUUACGAUCAUAUAAAUAGUAAAUGUGGAGUACAAUAGACAUAGUAAUAAACAAGUUCCCUAUUCUAGAAUGCUCAUUUCCUCGUGACCCCUGCUCUAAGUUGACUUUUAUUAUGCACUGUUUAGAAGGGGGAAAGGGCAUCAGGUUUCAAACUAGAGAAAAAUUAUAAAGUUUUUUUUUUUCCUAAUAAUUCACUAAUUAAGCAGGGAAAGUACGAAAAUUCAAACUAAUGACGCAAUUGACUAUUGAUAAAUGGAUUAUUUACUCUCACCAGACCUUUUUCCUUUUGUUUCUCUGUUUCUGUUCAUCAGUUUAUAUUUUAUACUUCGUCUCUCGAUCUCAUUUUAUGUAUCGCUAUUUAAUUCAAUAUGAAGUUUAAGAAAUAAAUGACGACUUUGUGACGAUUACAAAAUUGUUCCUCUUAAAGUUUACUUUUUAAUUUUCUUUUCUUAUAAAGUGGGAUUCACUAAAGAUAAAAUGAGAAUGAUGGCAUUAAAUAGUUAUCAGAUAAGAAAAGAUGACAUUCUUUUUGGACGGAUCAAAAAGGAAAUGACGAUAUAUGAAAUGGGACGGGAAAGUACUAUACUAUCAUGCUUAAUGAAAAAAGAAUAUCUUGGUGUAUAAUAAAAGAUUAAAUAAUUGAUAUCUUAAUCUGCAUGAUCUCCAAUGUUGUUCUUGAGUUGGUCCUUAUAAAUUUUCCAGUAUUUCGUUCGUAACUUCAUAUAUUCAUAAUGAUAAGAGAAGAAACGAUUAGGGAAUGAACAUAUAAUGGCGACACUACGUAUGAAUCAUUAGAGUCAUGAAUUAACUUGUAACAAUUGUUACCAUUUCGCUCCAAUAUCUUCCACAUUUGCCUAAUUCAAAGAAUUUUACUUUUAUAUGUAGGUAAAUCCUAUUUAUUUAUUCUAACUUUCUUCAAUAUAUACGUGGAUCCCGUAUUUUAAUUUCAAGUUUUCAACUAAGGUCUUUUUUUUGUUGCACACUUUAAUCAUAGUACUAAUAUCAUGUACUAUAAUUUAGGCAUAAUACCUAACAUCAUCUUUAAAUUGACCUCAAAUUGCAUCUAUGACAUUUAAUUUUUGAUUUAUCUAAGUAGACAUUUAAACUUGUACUCCGUCCGUAUUAUUUAAUGUGACAUACUUUGGCAUAGUAAUUAAGUAGAGCUGUCAAUACGGGUCGGUCCAGCCCAUCCGGGCUAGCCCACACGGGCUUUGAGUUUGACCGGCCAGACCGGGCUGGCACAUCAAAAUGAUGGACCAAAAAACACCAAGCCUACACCAUUACUCUGUGGGUUGCGGGCUUCACGGGUCAGUCCACUUUUUAAAAAAUAAUAUUUUAUAAUUUAAUUUUAGAAUAUUAAUAAACAUAAAUAUUAUCAGAUAAUAUUACAUAGUGUUAAUAAUUGUUUAUCAAGUUUCCAACACCCCCAAAAAAUACUCCUAACAGCGAAAUUAAAUAACUUUUGACAUGAUAUCCUUUGAACCAAAUAAAAAUACUAAUGGACAAUCUAAAUAGUUGCAUGUAUUUGACUUACGGACCGGCUCAUGAGCUAGCCCAACUCAUAUUGCUCAAGCCCUACGGGCCACCGGCUUAUAGAGGCCGGACUAAAAAACCCUGUUCUUAAAUGGGCUGCAAAAAUUGAAGCCCAACUCCAUCAAAUUACAGGCCAGGUCGGGUCGGCCCUACGGGCCUAACCCAUAUUGACGGCUCUAUAAUAAAGAUAAAAGAGGAAGACUUUUGAAACUUGUGGUCUGAAAUGAUCUUUGAUACUUGUGUGGUUGUAUAAAUUAUUUCACUAAGUAUAAAAAUUAUACUAGUUUAAAGUUAAUUUUUUUCUAAUUAUAGUAACAAGACUUCUUUUUGGGAUGGGCUAAAAAGAAAAGUAUGUCACAAAAAAUGAUACAGAGGAAGUAUAAAGUUGAACAAAUAGUCACACGCGUCCUACAUAGCAUAAGACACUUAAAGACGCCAUGUAGGAUACGAAUUGAUCAUGUAAGAUGCCACAUAGAACAUAUGUGUCUACUUAUUCAACUUUAUACAAGUUUGAAUGUCUACUUGUGCAUACCUCAAAUUGUAGAUGAAAAUAAAGCCAAGUUGAAAGACAUGUUUAUGUAUUAUGCUUAUAAGUUAAAAUUAUGGCAGUUUAAUGUUAUUUGUUUCUAAAAAUAUUUGGCUCUCGAAAAUUUAAUUCAUAUCAUAUACAUUGAGACAAAUAAAGUAACAUAUAUCAUCUAAAAAUUAUGUAAAAAAUAUAAUACAUCACAAUAAUUGACAACUCAAAUAUGUAAAAAACUUAUAACAAAUUUGAUUAAUUCUCAUAAUUCAAUUUGUACUGUAUAGAUAGAAACAAAGUGCAGAUUACAUCGUUAGAGUACUAUAUAUCACAAUAAUUAACAAUUUAAAAUAUCUCUAUAUAUAUAUUUAUCUUUUGUUGGCUUUUUGAAAAGAUAACAUAUAUUAUGUAAAAUUUAAAUAAAUUAACAAUUUAAAAUAAUAUUUGAUUUUUAAAUUGUAUCUCUAUCACAUAAAUUUAAACAUAUAUUGAGCCAUGCCUAGCUCAACAUAUAUGACAUAUGAUAUGUAUACUAAUAUUUAGUAGUAUUAACUAAUGCUCAUGGCCACAUGAUACAUCUGCUCCAAGUCGUUGACUUUCUUUGAUUACAUGUUUUGUAAGGGAGUAUGACGAUAGAAGGGCGGUGGAUCAAAGUUGAGAAAAUGAAAGGACUCUUUUUAAUUAACAAAUCAAUAAGGAAAAAUGGAUAAUAUCUCACAUUUCAUUUAUCUAAUAGUAAUUCCCAUCACACCAUCCCAUGUUCAUCCAGGCAAAGGCAGCAACCACCGGCUUGGUGUAUUAUUGUUAUCAGCCUUAAUUUGAACCCAUCUUGCACUAUCAUUUUGCAUAAUUAAGAGAAGAAACAAGACAUAACAACAAUUUAAUUGUAAAAUUUACAUGAUUACAUGGACAACUUGACAAGAAUAUAUAUGUCAUCGUGGUCAUAUAUAUCACAUCCAAAUUAUUAAGGAACUGUAAAAUCACACGAUGAUAUGAAUUCCUAUUAUUAUCAACGAGAUCUUCCAUACCAGAAAAUCUAAAAUCAAGCUGUCUCAUCAUAUAUAAUUACCAAAUUUCUUUAGUCAAUAUAAUUCACUGCCUUGCUGGAGUUGAAGGAACUGAAGAGGUCUGCAACACAUCACGAAAACCUCCCUCUCUAACAUACUGAAUGUACCUUGAGAAUUCAGGCCUAGCAGUUGCCUUCUUCUUCCUCUUUGUUUCGAAUAAACUGAAUAUUGGAUGAAUCUUGCUCGCUUUCUUCGCUUCCUUUUUCACCUGAGGACUCAUAGGGAAAUUAUGCUCCGGUGCUGUCGCCUUCCUCGAUGGACUAAAAAUUUUAGAUAUGGGAACACUUCUGUUUCGGAUCAAUUUUGGCUCUACGAAUGGAGUUGAUGCUGCCUCUUCUUUAAUCAAUUCAUCGUAUCCUCGAUAGUCUCUUCGUGUGCUAAGUGCUCUAAACAUGGCUAAGAUAAAUAUAAUGAACUUACAAAAAGAAAGAGAGCAAGAAGAGAAAGAAACUCCCAGAUCUAUUGAACUAGCUAGGCUUAAUAAAAAUGAGAAAACUAUAGGAGAAAAAAUAUUAGUCCUGUAGGAGAAAUAUGCUAGUGUAACAAGGAAGUAUUAAAGAGUUUGGUUGGCUAGAAUGGGGAUGGGGAGUUAUUUAUUUAAUUGCUAUUAGUUGAGGUGUUCUGACAAAAAUAUGAACUGUGGCCUUAUUUUUCAAAAAUUGCAUACGCCCCGUAUAUGAAAUGUGAGGGUUGAAAUUUCGUUUUUUC
rnacentral:lncRNA from 1 species